rnacentral:lncRNA from 1 species
UUUUUUUUUUUUUUUUUUUUUUUUAGCAGGAACCCUAAUUCCUCUUUUAUAAUGAACCCCAACGAUUUACCGGAUCGCAUUCUGAUAAUGCAUUGACUUGAAUCCAACCUCAGCUUGAAUUGUCUCAACCUGUCAACUAGCUUGGCCAGAUCUGCCAGAUGCCCCUCUCCUGUUUGGGACUUUGCUAUCAUGUCAUAGCAUACUGAAUCACAUCAUGAAACAAAGUCACCAUGGCUCUCAUACAAGUGGCACCGGUGUUCUGCUUCUCUAGAGGACAGUCUCCUUUCCACGAUAGCUUGUGCGCAACGACACCAGUAUCCGACCCUGGCAUACCCUGACAUGACCAUGUGAAGGCAUCCACACGCUCUUUCAACAAGACUACCAUUCUGCUCUCGACUAGCCUCUGAAGCGGCUCCAACUUUCACUUCCUUUCUGACCUCGGCGGUGCUUGGAAUAACAAUCUCAAUCCGCUCCGCAUGCGGCUGAAUCACCUUCUCCUCUGGUUUAAACAACCUGGCUAAUUCCAGCAGACCACAAUCUUCUUCGUCUUCUUCUUCAGCCUGAUUGCUCGGUUUGUCGAAGUCAUAUGUGGUGUAACCAAAUCGUUAUCAAUGAGAUCCGGAGAAUAUUUUUGAAUUCGGAACGAGACAAAUCAAAAGGAAAAAUGAAAAUGAACAUUGCCAUUUUUAUUUGUUUUUAAACUGCAAAAAUAAAUGAAAAACAGGGAACACCGCUUUUUUGACUGAAAAACAUCCAUUUAUUAAUGAUGCAGAAAUGCAAAUUUAAACAUGAGGUGGCCCAAAAAAUAAAUGAAAAACAGGGAACACCGCUUUUUUGACUGAAAAACAUCCAUUUAUUAAUGAUGCAGAAAUGCAAAUUUAAACAUGAGGUGGCCCUUACAAUGGACCAUUACGUGUCGGGCAACACGCAAGGCUUUCAUGCAAAUAAAAUCAAAACAGAAAUCAUUACUCUUCCGAAUGAGUGUCAGUGCUGAUCUUUUUAAGCCUUCCAGCUUCCUGGUACGCACGGCUUUAUCCAACCAUUGAACUUGCAGUCACUGUCAGCUUCUCCACCUACCGCAUAGGCGUGAUCUGAAUCUUCAACAAUUGCACCCACCAUCACCUGACCAUGUGCCGGCAUGGGAUUGGCAUUAACAUUUGGAGACGGUGCAAAAUUGAUAGCCUUAGAGUCUACCAGAUCCUGGACAACGUUCUUGAAUGCUCUACAACCCUCAAUGUUAUGCCCCGGUGUUCCAGAAUGAAAUUCACACUGGGCGUUCUCAUCAUAGUUAAGUGGCCUCUGAUCUGAUCUCAUCGGAACCAUCGCCCUUGGCUGAACCAACCCAAGAUCCAUCAACUUUUUGAACAGAACCGCAUAUGUCACGGGUGGCUUGUUAAAAUGGCGAUCAACCCCUUUUCCUUUCACCUGGUACCCAGCUCUCUGUUGAGGUGGCUGACGUUGCUGUCGUGCUGACUGAUUACCAGCAGGGAUGGUUACCGCAGCAGUGUGUUGGUAGUAACGAUCCCUACCGUGUCCUCCCUGGGCAUACACAGCACUGGAUUCUCCGUCAUUCUUCCUUUGGCCAUUUCCGAAGGGCUUCUUCGACCCUGAUGACGAAGCAUUACCUUGUAUCUUCCCCAUUUUCAUCCAACUUUCAAUUCUUUCUCCAGCCACCACAAUGUCAGCAAAGUUGGUUACCGGGCAUCCAACCAUUCUUUCAGCAAAAACCCCUUGCAGGGUAUCCAUGAAGAGAUCAGACAUUUCUCUGUCAACCAAUGGAGGUUGCACUCUGGCAGCCAACUCCCUCCAUCUUUGUGCAUAUUCUUUAAACCCCUCACUUGACUUCUGAGACAUACCCUGCAGCUGGGUACGACUCGGAGCCAUAUCAGCGUUGAACUGAUACUGUUUAAAGAACGCAUCUCCAAGAUCUUGCCAACUCUUGAUGUCAGCAGAUUUCAACUUGGUGUACCACUCCAGGGAUCCUCCAGACAGACUGUCUUGGAAGAAGUACAUCCAUAGCUUCUGAUCUGUCGUGUACGCAGAGAUCUUGCGAACGAAAGCCUGAAGGUGAGUCUCAGGGCAAGAACUACCGUUAUACUUGUCAAAUGCCGGCGCUUUGAAUUUCUGCGGAAUAACGAUUCCCUCUACCAGCCCCAUAUUGGACAUGUUGACAAACCCCGGAGUGGCAUAACUUUCCAGCACUUUUAUUUUCUCAGCCAGCAGCUGAAUUUCUUUGUCUUGAGGUUGACCACCAUAUUGACCCAAUGGCUCGUUGUGCAUCGAAAACUGAUCAGCUUCCCUAUCUUCCUCCCUAUCUUCAUCGAAGCCAUAGAAUGGAGGCACAAAAUUGUCCUUCAGAUUCUGCCCCAGACCAGGCCCAGGUUGACCACCAGCACCAAAACCAGCAGCAUUGUUGUUCACCAUACCCACGGUUGCUCUCUUUUCACCGUCUCUGGAUCCACCGAGCCCCUGAUUGGAGACACCAUCCAGGUUAACAACACUGUUAGCUGCAGAAGCCCGCUCAAGCUUCUCAACCUUAUCUGCUAAAGCUCUCUGACCAACUGCAAAGCCUUGCAUGAUGUUGAUCAACUCGUUCAUUUUGUCUUUUAGCUCGAGCAUAUCUGUGUUUGGGAGAUCCAUCAGUCUUGGAGUAUUGUGUCUGGUGAAGUAUCUGUGAGGACGGGUUGAGUGCAAAGGUACGGUUCUACGAGCGCGAGCAAUGAUUCCUGCAAAACAGCAAACAGGUUAAUAUGCAUGAAUGCAACGUCUAUCCAUAUGAGGAAGAUUCUGUCUUUUGAUUCUGGUUUCAUCGAGACAGAUAAUAUUUCAUGAUUCCUGCAAAACAGCAAACAGGUUAAUAUGCAUGAAUGCAACGUCUAUCCAUAUGAGGAAGAUUCUGUCUUUUGAUUCUGGUUUCAUCGAGACAGAUAAUAUUUCACCAAUAACAUUUUGACAUCCAGAUGUCUCUCAACCAGAUUCUCAAUCCAUAAUGCUCCCCAUAUGGCUAGACAUAGGUUUGGUGCAGAUGAAUGCAAAAUGAGAAUGAUGUAUGAAUGCAAUGCACUGUGCCAUCCUCCAAGUCAUCUGAUCAUCUGUUGCUCUGAAUCACAGCCCUGAUUUCUGAACUGAUCAUAACCAUCUGAGGGAACUGUAACCACAAAUCUGACCCACGGGUUCCGAAAUAAACGGAAGAAAGAUACACCAUCAUCAUCAUCAUCAAUCUCUGAGCAGACAUUCACAACCCUCUGAAUCGGCCAGGGGAAUCCGAAAUAAACGGAUCCCCACUGAUAAAUAUCUCGGCCCGGGGAAUCCUGAAAUAAACAGAUCCCCACUGAUAAAUCACGGACAGCACUCCGGCGUCACGGCAAUAAAUGACCAUAAAUCCGACUUAUAAAUAUGACUCGGAUCCACGGAACAAAAAGUCACCAUUCGAGUCACCAUCAAUCACCAUCUGUACCUGUUAAAAUGAUCAUUCCCUCCCCACUCACGGGUGUCAUCUAGCCAGAAAUGGGUAAGAGUCAAAGAAACGCGAAGCAUAAAUAAACCUUUUCGCAGAAUACCAUCAUAUAGCACACACCCGAAGAUAGUAACGAAAUAUUCCACCAGUGGUCUGAACAGCUGACCUUGUGAGUGCAAUUGUCCGUAAGUGGCGCAUACCACCCACUUUCCCAUGCAUCACUCAUUUAGUUCCUAGGGUUUCCUAGCAUUUCAAUCAUAGCCUCGGUAUUGCGGCCUUUACCUCGAGUAACUCCCACCCCAAAACAGAGGGGAACACCUGACAGAGUACAGGCAACAAUAGAUAGUAUGAUGCUAUGCAGAUCAUUAAUUCCAAAGUAUAGAUAACACGUGGUCCUAGGAAUAAAUAAAUGGCAGAUAAUAAACAACACACAAUAAUGCCAACCCAAACCAAUCCUAAAACGUAGGAAGACUCGGCUGUAGGGACGAUGGACCGAGAUAGGUCUUACAUUCUGAGUCCCCAGGCAAAGUCGCCAGCUGUCGCAUCCGUGAAAAAUCAACCGGCGAAGCCUAAAAUAAAACACACAGAGCCGCCACUAAACGUUAUUAUCCCAAGAUAGGGAAAGGAAACGCUCAGAAAACCUGGGAAAGACAUGGUCUCACGACCAGAGGAUAAAAGGUUCGGGAGCGUUACCUGAGGGAAGGUAUUAGCACCCCUCACGUCACUAGUACUCCUAGGAUCCAACGUCCUAGAAAUAAAGAAAGGUUGCUAAACAUCACACACAACAACGGGAACCAGCUGGUGUAGAGGAACGAGGCUCCGAAUAAGUUAUCGGCCACCUAUCCUAGCAUUCUUGUACUGGAACAAGAAGUCAGACCACUGUUAGUUCGCUUAGCGCACGCCAAACAACACAGAAAACAACACAAACAUGCAAGGGUGGCAAACUGAGAGCCCGACACCACUGGAUGGAAUACGUCGCAUCCGAACCAGGAACCACCACUCAAAAGGGCAAACGUGGAGCACGACUGCCAAUCAACUGGCUUACGUCGGCAUCCAACCCAAACAACCAGUAGAUAACAAGUAAAACACACGCAAAAAAGAGAAAAAAGGUUGCCCGGAUGGUCUCGCACGACCACCUGCUACGAUACCCUCGUCGGCACGAGGAUCAGGGCGAGUAGUUCCCUGAAGGGACUUAAAUUGCAAACCGAAAACCGGGGGAAGAUACACAGAUCUAGGGAGCUGAGACUCGAAGCGGCCUAAUGUGUGUAUGCUCGUUAACCCAAGUUCGCGUUUCUCUAUCCACUUGCAUAGCAAACUAACCUAACCAGGAAAAAGCUAGCACACAAGCUACAAUCAUAUAUCAUCAAAUGAGAACAGGUAUCUCAAACAAGCAUGGUCAAUCAGAUAUCCACAUAGCACACGCUAUAACCAAACAAGGGGCUCAAUCAAUCAGGUUUGACUGCCUAAGCAAGUCGUCUGUACAGGCUGGUUUUUGCUCUUAAACCUUGCCAUUACGAGGCUAAGGUGUUGAAGCAGAUGAAAGGAUGAAGUGAGGAUCAGACCUCACAGCUCUUAUCCCUAACCAGGGAGAGCUGACAAAAUGAGCAUGGGUCCAGAAUAGGGGAACCCCUUAUACUCGAUGACUCUGACACAACAGAUCUUGGCUUUGAUCUCGAUGCUACAACCAUGUAAUGGAGCAAUGAGAAGACUCACAGAAUAGUGGGGGGUAGCUGCAUACCCCUACCUUCCACCAAUGCCUUACUUGAAGCUUUUCCUGCUUGGCUUAAAAAUAAACAUACACAAGCAUUGGCCUCUUAAGGAGGACUUCAGACAAUUUGCCCGGCCCGGAACAGCCGGGCUCCAGACUACAAGAAGUUUUAAGAAGUUACCUCAAUGCAAAUUGCUUAUGCAAAGCGAAGCAAAGCCAAUAGUUCACAAGGAACUGAGAGCAACUAAGUACCUGAAAACAAUCAAACUCAGUCAGUACUCAAGCAGAAAAACUGUAAACAACAAACAAUUAACCAGUCAAACUAUACAACACAAAGCAAGCUCAAGGCUUAAGCCCAAGCUUCAACCCGCAAAACCAAUGUUAUGUUAGUACAAACAUCCACAACAUCAAUUAAAAUGAUUUGGACCAUUAUCCAUUCAUGCUUUUAAUCCUGAAAAAUCAAGCAAACAUUAGCAACUAGACCACUAGGCCGAGCCUAGGGUCCAAAAGCAAGAAAAAAAUUUAAACAGCAAGGUAUUCAUCAACCAAUCUCAAAUAACAUCAAACAAGAGCAAACAUCAUUGGUCUCAUGUUUAAUUCAUCCAUCAUGUUCAAUUCAUGCACAAACAAUCCCUAUUGGUCCAUAUGAAGCACCAAAAUACAAACAGAAGUAUUUCAUCAAAGCCAUGCCAAAACACAUCAAAAAAAAUCUCAAAUUAAAUACACCUAAACAGGGGUCAAUCAAGUCUACCAUUUCAAAUUUGAGCUCAAUUGGCAAAUGGAACCAUGUCAAUGAAAAUCAACAAAAACAGACACAAUUACAUGCUUCAAUUCACACCAUCAAGCAUACAUCCACUCAAAAAUUCAAUAUCUCAUUGGAACUAAAAGAAAUGAUGAGACCAAAAAGGGAGGUCUAACAUGUGUUAGUUCAUGCAUAUCAAAUUUCAUGGCCAUACAUACAAUAUGAGGAUUCCCAAUCAAUUCCAACAUGUAUCACAUGAGCUUGCAAUUUCAACAACCAGAAAUAUGAAAAAUCAAGUUAUAAUUGAAAAUACAGGAAAAAUCCUACAAAAAUUCAUCAAGCAUCCUAACAUGUCAACAAAGUCAUCACUGCAAAAUUUCAGCCAAUUCCAACAUGCUAGUCAUCCAAUUAAAUAUCAACAAGUUGACAUCAGAGGUGUGACACAAAUUGUCACACCUAGUUCCAGAUUUUGCUGCUCUCUAACCAGUAUCAAAAAUUCAUGAAAUUUACAUAUAAAUAAUCCUCAAUGAGUCAACGACCACACAAAACUUUUUAGCCAUUAUUUUAUGAUAUGGUAGUUCAUGAUCAAAUUGCCAAAAUUAUCAAAAUGUAACACAUGUGAGAAACCCUAGGGCAAUGAUUUUCUACCAAGUACAACUUUGACCAAUAGGUCAAAAAAACCUACAACAAGGUCACAAAGUCAUAGAAAAAUCUCCAAUUUUAGAAUUUUUUACUAUUUUUUAUGAAUUUUUAAAGUGUUAAAUAUUUUUAUGAAUUUUAAUGAAUUAAUAUAAUUAAAUUAAGAUGAAUUGUGUGUUACAGCAAUGGCAGUACCAACAAAGUCAAAUGAAUUAAACUGUCCAAUGCCAACUCCGCGCCUCAUUUAUUUGCUGGCAGUACCUGAUUCGCUUACGGAGGGCGGGAACAGAAAUUUGAAAAAAAAACCAAGCCAGCAUGGAUCUGUCACGACGUUUUUCCAAGAAGCGACACUAUUCAUCCCGUGUUCAUAGCUCCUUCAACGGCGGGAUGCGGUUACGACCAAAUCUCCACCAAAAUUCGCAAGGCGGCAUAUGGUUGGAAAUUCUAAGAGUGUGACAUCACGAAUACGUACCGAAAUCUCCUAAUUCCAACUAUGCUAGACGGAUUCGAACGGUUAAAGGUUUGAACACAAAACUUCAAAUCGAGAUUCUUUAACUCACUCAAAUCAUUUCAUAAAGCGCAAGUCUCAUGCUAACCUAUGAUGAUGAACGAUCUACACAAUUCAUAUAACAAUUUACAAAACCGUUGAGAUUCGAAUUCGCACCUUUGUUUGAUGACAACCCAUGAUUCGUGAUGUUUUGAUGCGCAAUUCCUGAAACAGGUGGAGCUUGAUGAUGGAGAAGGAGAAUGCAACUUGUAGCUUGGCUCGAAUUUGCUCCUAGUGCAGAAAUUCCAAUUCACCAUUGAUCACACACUUUGAACAGUGGAGAUUCGCGGAGCUUCUUGAUGCAAUUUGCCAAAACAGUUCAAGGAGAAGAGGAUUGGAGAUGGAAUCAAAAAGACAUUUUUCGAAUUCCAUGGAGAAUUGGAAGAUUUGAAGGAUUUUUGUGUUUUGUUCUUAGAGAGAAAGUGAUGAAUUUGAGGGAAUUUGGAUCUGAUUUUGGGAUUGUGAAUUUUCUGUUAUAUUAGGAAGUGUUUAUGAAUUUAUAUGUAGCUUAAUCAUUCACUAAUCAAGUUAAUUAGUAAAUGGUAAUGUUAAGUGAAAGUGUCAUUUUCAAAGGAGGGGUAAAAUGGUAAAUACACAAUGACAGCUAGUGCCAGCUGUUUUGACAGCCCAAGCAAUCCCCAAAUGACAUAUGUAGAUGUAGAAACUUGUUCAUGUCGCAGUAGUGAGUAUUUCUCAAAAUUCACAUGGUAUGGUGGUAAUUGAUCCAUUUUUGACCAUUCAUUUUUCAAACCAAAAUCCAAUCACAUGCCUUAACCAUGAAAUGAAUAUCAGAAACACAUUAAAAUGCCAUCCUGAGGUGUUGGAAAAAGCCCAUUCAAAAAUUCAUUAUUUGACAUUUGACAAUUUUGCCCCUGAUCCAAUUCAGUUCCAGUUGAAAAGUGACUUUUUGCCUUGGCCAUUUUUGGAAAAUCCAAUGAAUGCACCCUCCAAAUACAUGUCAAAUGGAGUUUGUGCAUAUAAAGAACUUGCAAUUUGGAACAAAGUAUGUGGUAGUUAUGGCCUCCUGAUUACGGUCUUUUCUGAAAUUCAAUGAGCCAUAUCUUGCAAACCACACAUUGGAUUUUCAAGUCUUGGACUUUUUGGAAAGGUGUGGGAACAAGAUCUAAUCGUUAUGUUGAAACAAUUCUUCAUUUGAAGCUUCCUGGACAUCUGUUUUUAAGUGUCAAAAACUUUCCAUUUUUGGAAACUUCAGUUACAAGUCACUGCUAUUUUUAGGCAGUUUUUGUCCUGACCUUGAUUUUUUCUUUCUUUUAAGCUUUGAGAUGUCAUUUAACACUUGUCCAACAUGAAUGAAGUGUGUCUAACUUGUCCACCUCCAAAUCCACCAGAUCAUGUACAGUUGACCACAGUUGACUUUUCAUCUGACAGAUGAAUGGCUAGCAAUGCAUAGAGCAAUUUGAACCCCAAUCUCAACUGAAAUGCUUCAAGGGUGAUACCCUAGCCUCCAUAAGCACCAUGUAGUCACAAAAUGAUCCUCAUCUCCUCCAUAAACCCCCAUCUCCUGAUCCAGCCCUGAUUGUUCCCAAGUACAAGAGCCCCUGCAUUAGGGUUGACCAGUGGUCAAAACCCUAAUCUCAAGGAAUCUUCUCCAAUCUCCUGAUGACAUCCAACCAUGAUGAUGAUGAUGUAUCAAUUCAAACAAUAUGAAGACCAAUAUCCUUGGAAAUCAUGAAACCCUAAUUUCAGCCCCAUCCUCAGAUGGCCAUGAUCAGUCAGUAAAACCCUGGCUUGCACCUUUGAACUUCCUCAGCUUCUGUCAAGACUUGGGAAGAUGGCUUGCACAAUGUAACCACAUGAUAUGCAAUAUGGAAUGCCUAAAGUCCUAAGAUGAUAUGCAAAUAUGUUAAUGCUAGUCCCAAGAGAGGAGGGCAAAUUUUGAGGUGUUACAGUUUGUUAUCGUCUCCACAGGGAUUAUGUGAUAUUGCUGCCGUUUGACAGUUGUUAAGUUCUUAACUUAUAGUAACAAGGGGGUUUUAGAUUGUGGUUACGGUAUCUUGCAUAAAAAGUAAGAAAUUGCGUAAAAGUUUUGGUUUUACGAUUUGAGAAAGAUUGUCAAAGUUAGGGUUCGACGAUCACUUUGCAUGCAUAUGUCCGAUCAAACAAUACUCAUAAACUCCAUUAGAUCAUAAACACAUCCACAAAGUCCUCCCGAUGUGUUUAUCUCUAACACAUAUUGUGGGUUUUCCCAUUAUGAUCCAUUGUUGAUCUCUCAAACAAUCUAUCAAAAUGACAACUUUUAGGUUUAACUUUUUAGUGAACAAACUCAUUCAAUACUAUCUCUAGCUAAAGAACAAGGAUGGAUGAAAACCUUAGGUCAAGAGUUGGGAAGACACCUUUCAAUAAUAAACCAACACAAAGAGUUAUCAAUAAAAUAAAGUUUCACCUAUAUAUUCAUCAUCAAAGAGUUUACAAAUGAAGAUCAAUCCAUUUACAUACAAUGCUUAUGAUCAUCUACAUCUAACCUUGACAAAAUGAAGGAUUAGCUUACCAUUUUCAUGGUAGCUUGCACAACAAGUUUCGGAAGAAGGUUGAUCAACAUCCGAGUCGAAGAAUCGAGAUUGGAUGGGAAUCCACCUUCUUUUUGUGAAAUAUUAUCAAGAGAAGAAGAAAUAUGAGAAAAAGGGGUUUCUAAGCCAAAAAACAAGUAAAAAGAUGAUCCCAAGAAAAAUGAAGAUGAAAAGAUGUUGUUCCAAAAAGUAGCCCCUGCUAUUUAUAGUACUGGUUACUGAGUUGUCAUGCUCGCUAGGCGAGCAGAAUGGUUCGCCUAGCGAGCCCCAAAAUAGGCCACCAAAAGAGGUUGCGCCCAGAGGAAUCAUCCAAGUCCAGUUUUCAUCAGUUCGCUAGGCGAAGCCCACACUUCCUCCUUCGCUCCAGCGAGACUUGAGGGUUUUGCUACUGGAAUUGCUCGCUGGGAGCUCGCUGGAUGUUAUCCUAGAGAAUGUUGGUGAAUAAGCCACUGGAAGCGUUCGCUACUUCCCUCGCCACAACGAGUUUUGAUCAUUUUGCUACUGUAAAAUUCUAGGAGUGUUCGCUGGUAACUCGCUGCCUGUUUGCCUAGCGAGUACCUCGCUACCUCACUCGCCUAGCGAGCUUGCUGAUGUUUGCUUUCUUUAUUGGUUCCUUUGCCAUCUUUCUUAUGCCUUAGUUUUCUACUCUUUCAUGCCUAAUUCCUGCAUAAUAACACACAAAUUAAAGGUACCAAGAUCAUUUCACAUUGUAUUGCAAAUCAUCAAAAGCAAGGGCGGUUUCGAACACUUUUUCGACAAAAAGGAGUGAAAGAUGCCCACAUUUGAUAGCUCAAAUACAAGAUCAUUUCACAUUGUAUUGCAAAUCAUCAAAAGCAAGGGCGGUUUCGAACACUUUUUCGACAAAAAGGAGUGAAAGAUGCCCACAUUUGAUAGCUCAAAUAAACACACUUUGGCAUCUAACACACCAUAUCAAAAUUUCUCUUGUAAAGCACAUCAUCAUUGAGGUAGAAACUGCCUGACAAUCUCCUCAAGGUCUUCCUAUCUUUCACAGAUGCCCUAGGCGGGUAAAUCUGGCUCUGAAGGAAACACUUGAUAUCAUAGUACCACGGCUUAUCAUCCUUCACGUCUUCAAUUGUAAAUACAUGAGCUGGUCUAUCCAAGCGCAUUACAGUGAUGUUGGGAACUUCAUUCCAAAGUCUUACCAUAAUCAUCAAAGCAAGUGUAGCGAGAGCGUCUGCCAUCCAAUUCUCAUCUCGAGGAAUAUGAUGGAAGUCAACCUCAGUAAAGAACGUUGAAAUCCUCCUCGCAUAAUCCCUAUAUGGAAUAAGGCCAGGCUGAUUCAUUUCCCAUUCACCCUUAAUCUGAUUAACAACGAGGGCCGAAUCACCGUAAACAUCGAGAUACUUGAUCCUAAGAUCAAUGCAUUCUUCCAAUCCCAUAAUACAUGCCUCAUAUUCAGCCAUAUUGUUCGUGCAUUUGAAAGUUAGGCUUGCUGUAAAAGGGAAAUGUGUGCCCUGAGGAGUAAUAAUCACUGCCCCAAUACCAUUUCCAUAUUGAUUUACAGCGCCAUCAAACACCAUACUCCAUCUGGAACCAGGUUCUGGCCCUUCAUCAAGUGUAGGUUCAUCACAAACUUUCAUUUUCAAAUACAGAAUCUCCUCAUCUGGGAAGUCAUACUGAACUGACUGAUAAUCCUCGAUUGGUUGAUGUGCCAAGUGGUCAGCCAAGAUACUAUCUUUAAUAGCCUUCUGAGCUCGAUAAUCAAUGUCAUACUCGGAUAACAACAUCUGCCAACGGGCAAUCCUCCCAGUUAAAGCAGGCUUCUCAAAGAUAUACCUGAUCGGAUCCAUUUUGGAUAUCAGCCAAGUCGUGUGAUUCAACAUAUACUGGCGUAAGCGCUUAGCAGCCCAAGCCAAAGCACAACAUGUCUUCUCAAGCAUUGAGUAUCGAGACUCACAAUCAGUAAACUUCUUACUCAAGUAGUAAAUAACAUACUCUUUCUUUCCUGAUUCGUCCUGCUGACCAAGGGCACAACCCAUUGAGUCUUCAAGAACGGUCAGAUACAUAAUUAAUGGUCUCCCUUCCACAGGCGGAGACAGAAUCAGAGGUUCAGACAAAUAUUCUUUAAUACUGUCAAAAGCCUUCUGGCAAUCCUCGGUCCAAUCAUGAGACUGAUCUUUCCAGAGUAGCUUGAAUAUCGGCGCACAUGUGGCAGUCAUGUGGGAUAUGAAUCUGGAAAUGUAAUUCAAACGGCCAAGAAAAUCUCGGACUUGCUUUUCAGUUUUGGGCGCAGGCAUCUCUUGUAUUGCUUUGACCUUUGCAGGGUCAACCUCAAUACCUUUUUCACUAACAACGAAGCCCAAUAACUUGCCGGAACGGACUCCAAAUUUACACUUGUUGGGAUUCAGACGAAGCUUGUACUUCCUCAAACGUUGAUAAAGCUUUAACAGGUGCUCGACAUGUUCAACUUCCGUUCUUGACUUCGCAAUCAUAUCAUCGACAUAUACCUCGAUCUCCUUGUGCAUCAUAUCAUGAAACAAGGUAGUCAUAGCUCGUUGAUACGUGGCUCCGGCGUUCUUCAAACCGAAAGGGAUCACUCAAUAACAGAAUGUUCCCCAAGGUGUGAUGAAUGUUGUCUUCUCCAUAUCCUCGGGUGCCAUCUUAAUUUGAUUAUAUCCAUAAAAUCCGUCCAUAAAUGAGAAGACCUUGAAUUUAGAUGUAUUGUCUACCAACAUAUCAAUAUGUGGUAGAGGGAAAUCAUCUUUCAGAUUAGCUUUAUUCAAGUCUCUAUAGUCCACACACAUCCGGACUUUUCCAUCUUUCUUAGGCACGGGCACAAUAUUGGCCACCCAUUGAGGAUAUGUAGAAGUCACCAGAAACCCCGCAUCAAUUUGCUUCUGAACUUCUUCUUUUGAUUUUACUGCCAUAUCAGGAUGAGUUCUUCUGAGCUUCUGCUUCACAGGCACGCAUUCAGGCUUCAAAGGCAGAAUGCUGCACGAUAUUAGUAUCUAGACCAGGCAUGUCUUCAUAUGACUAGGAAAAGACGUCGACAUAUUCUCGUAGCAACUCAAUCAACCCCUUCUUAACAGACUCUUCCAAGAGUGCCCCAAUCUUUACUUCUCGCACACAAUCCUCAGACCCCAAGUUACUGAUCUUCUCUUCAUGCUCAAUAGACGGGUAAUCUCGUCAGGAAUCUCUUCAACAUCAUCUUCUUCCGCCUCAAAUAUAGGGAAUUCAAAGUUGGGAGAUGGUGUUGGAUCAUUAUGUUCAAUGGGUUUGAUCAACCUGCAUAAUAAUUUUGGAUAUAAAGAAUUUUUAGAAUUCAAACAAGGCAAAUCAUUAUGCAGAUGAAAAGAUUGAUUUUAUUUUGUUUUUAGGGUUUUAUGUGAUCACCAAUUUCAUGCAAAAGCAAAAAGGGAAAAUAAUUGGAAAAACAAACGUUUAACAUGAAUUUAUUGAAUGAAAGUCUCAUUGUAUUUAUGCGCCAACAAUAUCAUCACUUCUCCUUUUGGCAUGAGAGAAGGGUUUUUAAACACAAUGAACAUUACUUUGACUUAUGGAUAACUGUUGGAAUAUCCACAACGACCCAAUUAUUGCAGAUUCCUCCAGGGAUGACGAAAUUUCCAGAAUCCUCUUUGUCCUCUUCCAAAAUUGCAGCAGCCUCUUCGUCUUGACCAUUAUGGAUGAAUCCUCCACUCUUGAACAAACCUUGCUUGUUGAAGACCCCAGAAGAAUAGCCUAUGCCAGCCCGGGACUUGUUGUCUUCCAACUUGAUCAUUUGCCCCAAUCCAGCAGUUGCACCAUGCUCAAUGGCCAACUUUGCAUCUUUAUGGAAGCAAAUGAAGGAGUUCUCUUCUCAACAGGUUCAGCAAUAGAUAAAGCUUGGAACGGUGUUCCAACUUGAUCCUCGGCAUCUAUAUAAGAGAAGGAAGACAAAUGGCUAACCAGGAGAUCCUUUUCUCCCCCUACCACCACCAUCUUCUUAUUCUUUACAAAUUUUAGUUUCUGGUGUAGGGUGGAUGUCACGGCGCCAGCCUCGUGAAUCCAUGGUCUGCCUAGGAGACAGCUAUACGAUGGCACUUACAGGUAUUGGACCUUCCAUUAGACCUUUAGUGAACGUCCGAUUUUGACUGGGAGAUCAACCUCACCAAUCACAGUUUUGCGAGACCCAUCGAAAGCCUUCACAACUACUCCAUUCUGCCUCAUGGGAGGCCCCUGAUACGAUAACUUCGCGAGAGUGGUCUUCGGUAAUACAUUCAAUGAUGACCCAGUGUCCACCAACACAUUGGACAUGGCAUCAUCCUUGCAGCUCAUAGAUAUAUGUAAUGCCAAGUUGUGGUCUCUUCCCUCCUCGGGAAGAUCAGCGUCGCAAAAACUCAGGUUGUUACAAGCGGUGAUGUUUGCAACAAUGCUGUCAAAUUGCUCUAUCGUGACAUCGUGAUCUACGUACGCCACAUCCAACACCUUCUGUAGAGCUUCUCGGUGUGGUUCUGAAUUUAAUAGCAAUGAUAACACAGAUAUUUUGGAUGGAGUUUGUAGAAGUUGGUUUACAACAUUGUACUCGCUCCUUUUGAUGAGCCUCAGCAUCUCAUCACAGUCUUCUUUCGUAUUGCCACUCGGGCCAGCAGAAGCAGGAGUUUUCAAUGUAGAGGAGGGCUUAGCAACAAGUGUCGGAUUCGGAGUGCUCACAGCAUUCCCAAUCGGGCGUUCAACAAAAUCAGCAUCAACACUUCCUCGAGCAUCAGCUUGAGGCUUCAACGGAGCCGAAAAUACACGACCGUUACGGGUCAGCCCGCUGACGUCAGCAAUAUUAACGACAGAUGAAGAGGGUAGGGGCACCUCUUUCCCAUUUUCCACUACUACAACAUUGUAGCAAUAAGGGACUGCUUUCUCGGAGGACUACGGUACAGGUCCGGCUGGCUUGAUGACGAGAGUAGGAGAAGCCUUCUUCUUGCUGCCAUCGUACUUGAUGACAACAAGCUCAGGUAUCCGGAAUACCGAAGAAAUUACGUUAACUUCGAGAGCAUCUUCGUCAACAUUUCUGUUCUGAAGGAUCUCAAUAACUCCCUCAUCUAACAUUUCUUGCACAUCUCUGCGCACCUGGCGACACCCUCUCUGAUUAACAGAACAGACUCGACAUCUAUCAUGGUCAUGCUCAUAAUGGCUAUAGUCACACAGCAAGCGAUGCAUCUCAACCAGCGAUUGUCGGAUAUGGCUGACAUAUUUAACUUUGUACUUGCCAAGACAGCCCUGGACCAUUAUAACAGAUUUCCCAUGCUCGGGCAAUGGGUUCUUCUUCAUGUUUGGACCUACAUCCUCGAAAAACAAAAUCCCACUUCUCACAAGGUCUUGCACCUUGGUCUUCAGGGGAUAACAAUUCUCCACGUCAUGUCCGGGAGCACCGGAAUGAUACACACAAUGAAGCUCAGGCUUGUACCACCACUUGCACCUUGGUCUUCAGGGGAUAACAAUUCUCCACGUCAUGUCCGGGAGCACCGGAAUGAUACACACAAUGAAGCUCAGGCUUGUACCACCACUGGGGGUUAGCAGGUACAGCGGGAGGGUCUCGUGGAGUGAUCAACUUUCUAUCGAUCAGAGAUGGAUAGAGUUCAGCAUAAGUCAUCGGAAUUGGAUCGAAGGUGACCCUCUUUCUCUCAUAGCUGGUGUUGGAAUUGUUGUUGUUGUUUCGAGGCUGGUAGGCCUGCUGUUGCGGACACUAUUGUUGUUGUUGAUAUUGUUGAGUUUGUGGUUGCUGAUAAUGUUGAGCUUCCCUGAAAACAGGUGCUAUAUGAGCCACCUGAUGCUGGUUGUUAACUGGGCGGGCAAUCUUCCUCUUCACAGAGGGUCUUCUCUUUACAUGGGAAGACACAGCAUGUGCCUCUCUGAAAUUCUAGUUAUCAGACUUUGGAUGUCACACUGGUUGUUAUGACAUCCAAUUCUGCACAGACAGGGAUUAUGCAGAACUUAACAGUAAGUGCAGUAAAUAACACAAGUAAUUGUUCACCCAGUUCAGUCCAACAUGACCUACAUCUGGGGGCUACCAAGCCAGGGAGGAAAUCCACUAUUAGCAGGUAUCAAUUCAAAGCUAAACUCACCCGUUUACAACUUAUCACUUAAUCCCUACCCAAUGCAAUUUCAAUCUUAACCUAAGAUCAGAGUUCCUACUCACUCCCCCCUCAAUCACCUCAGUGAUUACUACUUUAAACAAUAUUUAAAGACAAGUUGAAGUCACACUUCAAACAACUCUUGAUUGUGCUUCACAGCUUUAAUCAAGAUACACAGCACUCAUGCUUAAAAGCUUUGAGUGACACAACACUUACAACUCAAUGAACACCCUAUGCAAAGCUAUCAUCUACUUGAUAAUGACUUGGCUUACAAGAUACGUCUAAUACAAGACUCACAAAAAUACAGCAGUGAAGUAUGAUGGACCACACAAAUCUUCACGCCUCAAAAUCCCUGAAACUGAAUGAAGGAACGCCUUCCUUUUAUAUUGCAGUACCCUGGCUUUGCACCUGUAUUCUCCUGAAUUUAAGGUCACGCGAGUUCCCAUAAAUUCAACAUUUAGGUUACUAACAAAUAGGCUAUUUGUUAGGUUCAUUGAAUGUAGCUUGGUUGUUGAUUUCCUGGUUUUUCUCUAAGCUGUUGACUUCCUGAAGAAUAGCCUGAGAAAAGCUGAAACAGAAAACUGAACAACCUACAAUAUAGCAUAUGCUGUCAGGCAUGAAUGUCACGACAUUCAGCUUGACAUCAAGGUCCAUAUGCUGAGUCUGUUUUUUCAGAAAACAGACCGUACAAUUUUGCUGACCUGUACAUGAUCAAAAUGACCAUACUACAGUGACAGCUUACAUUAAUAAAUGUCAAAGUGGUCCAACUAACAUUUACACAAUUGGCCUUAAGUUAGUUCUGUUAUUCUUUUUGAAGAACAAACUAAGUUACAUGCUGAAGUAUAGCAGAACACCACUCUGUCUAAUCUUCAGCAGUGCUGUCAAUGAUGAAUGUCAUAACAUCCAUUUGACAUUCAGUCAAUAGGCCUUAUGCCAGGUUGGUUUUCCUUGAUAACCAGACUGGAAUAAAUACUAAGUUCUGACAGAACACCUGCUGUUCUAUUCCUUAGUAUCUAUUGACAGGUAUGAAUGUCCACACAUCCAGUUUGACAUUCAAUAAAUCCUGUGUUAGCUAGUCCUGCAGUAACUACAAUGUAGUCACACAUACAUGUCAUGACAUCAGUCGACAUUAGUAACCAUCAGUGUUACCAUAUAUGCAGCCAAUUAAACACCUACAAACUCCCCUUUGGCAAAUUUUGGCUAAAACCUUUGAUCCCCAUAACAAAGUUUUAUAGCAGCGGAAUCACACACCUAGCAGGAAAUAUAUACUAGCUAAUACACUCAGAGUGGCAGCACACUCACACACAUACAGAAGUUAAAUAAAACCUCACACACAAUUGCUGCAGGGAGAAUCUGUCGUCCGAGAGUCUGUUGUAGAGACCAUGAGUGUCUGUUGUAGAGACACCACUCUGUUUGUUCAGGGGUUACUCCCCUUUUUGUCAAAAUGUUGCCAAGCCAACAACAUAACCAGAGAAUAACGACAGAGUUACAGGACUUGGUUUUACUUCCCAGUUUAACAAGUUACCAUCCACUUGAUCUUGCUUCACAGCUUUGAUCAAGUAAUCACCCACUUUUGCUUUAUAGUAGGUACCACCAUAUCAGAUGCCAUGAAGUUGUUUCUGACAUCCAGAACCACUCCUGCAUGAAAGCAUCCUUGAACUCCUGCAGAUCAUUGUCACCUCAUGCUCACUAGGGUGGUCUCUCUUACCCUCUUGUAUCCACCCUUGUUGCAAGUAGCAUAGCUAUGAUCUGGUGACCAAUCAUAGCCUAGUACAAAUUGUUUAAUAGGCAGAGAUAUUAAACAAUUUAUCCCAAACAUCAGUGGUUGCUAUAAGGUCUCAGAGAGACAUAAUUCCCAGUUUUCUCCUUAAGUUUUCAAACUGAGUAGCAUCCAGAGCCUUUGUAAAUAUGUCAGCCAAAUGAAGAUCCGUGGCUACAUGUUCCAAAGUGAUCACCUUGUCUUCCACCAGAAUCUCUGAUGAAGUGGUGCUAAUGUCAAUAUGUUUGGUCCUGCUGUGUUGGAUGGGAUUCUUGGAGAUAUUGAUGGCACUGAGAUUAUCACAGAACAAUGUCAUGACAUUUGAGUGACAUUGUACUCAGUGAGCAUCUGUUUCAUCCAAACCAGUUGGAACAACUGCUUCCAGCUUGCUAUGUAUUCAGCCUCUAUAGUGGACAGAGAGACACAGUUCUGCUUCUUGCUGAACCAAGAUAUGAGGUUGUCUCCUAAGAGAAAGCAUCCACCUGAUGUGGCUUUUUCUUGUCAUCAGCACUCCCAGCCCAGUCUGCAUCACAAUACCAGCUAGGACAGGCUCAGACCCAUGUGAGUACAGCAUCCCAUAGUCACAUGUCCCAUUGAUGUACUUGAGAAUCCGUUUGACUUGAUUCAAGUGGCUCACCUUAGGCUCUGCUUGAUAUCUGGCACACACUCCAACUGCAUAAGAAAUGUCAGGUUUACUUGCAGUUAGGUACAACAGACUACCUAUCAUGCUUCUAUACAGCAUUGAUCAACACUAGGCCCUCCAUCAUCUUUGGUCAACUCAGAUGAGUGGGAGCAGGAGUCCUCUUGUGUCCUAGCAUUAUCCAUACCCAACUUCUUAACUUGUUCUUGGCAUACUUGCUUUGGCGAGAGAAACAUAGAGGUCCUCCAUUUGGUUAACUUGCAUUCAAGGAAAUAGGUCAGUUCUCCCACUAGACUCAUUUCAACUCAGACUGCAUCUGGUGAACAAAUUUUUUGUACCAUUUGUUCUGACAUUCACCAAAGACUUAUAUCAUCAACAUAGAUUUGAGCUAUCAUGAUUUUGCCUUCUUCAUCCUUCACAACAGGGUUUUAUCUAUGCCACCCUUUCUGUAUCCAUUUGAGGUCAGAAAUUCGGUUAACCUUUGCAUUACCAUGCUUCUAGGUGCUUGUUUCACCCAUACAAGGCUUUCCUCAACUUGUAUACGUGCUCAGGUUGGUUAGGAUCACAGGAACCCUUUAGGGUUUGUUCCACAUAGACUUCCUCAUUCAGGUAGCCAUUCAAGAAUGCACUCUUCACAUCCAUUUGGAAUAGCUUUAACUUCAGGAUGCAUGCUACCCCCAACAGCAAUCUGAUGGACUCAAGGGCUAGCCACAAGAGCAAAUGUUCUCAUCAAAAUCUACCCCUUCACAUUGAGUGUUAUCCUUGAGCUACUAGUCUUGCUUUUAUUCCUAGUAAUUACUCCUUUCUCAUCAGAUUUGUUUUGUAGAUCACUUGGUACCAAUUGAUGUUGUUCCCUUCAGGUUCUUGGAACUAGCUCCCAGACUUCAUUCCUUUUGAACUGCUCAAGUUCUCUUUGCAUGGCAGUGAUCCAGUAUUCAUCAGUCAGGGCUUCCUUCACAUUCUUUGGUUCAACCUUGGAUACAAAGCAGGAAUUUGAGUUUAUUCCUCUUGACCUGGUAGUUACACCACUGGUGGAUCCCCUAUGAUAAGAUCCUUAGGGUGGUCUUUCUGAAUUCUGAUAGAUGGCACUUUUGGUGGUUGCAUCUACUUCACAUUCAGGAGGAGGUUCCUGUACUUCUUUCAGACUUGACGGACUGUUAGUUGAACUGUCAAGGAAUGUUUCAACAUCCUCCAUGACAUCGCGUUCCUUCCUCUUUAUCGUCCACAAUGACAUUUAUGGAUUCCAUCAGGACAUUGGUCCUGUAGUUGAACACUCGUGUAGGUCUUGUUAUUCGUGGAGUAUCCCAAAAUAUACCUUCAUCACUUUUGGGAUCUAGCUUCCUUCUCUGUUCACGAUCUGUGAGAAUGUAGCAUUUUACUUCCAAAGAUAUGAAAGUACUUCACAGUAGGUUUUCUUCCUUUCCAUAUUCAUAUAGAGUGGAGGAGGUUCCUUUUCUCAAGGUGACUCUGUUGUGAACAUAGCAUGCGGUGUUCAUUGCUUCAGCCAGAAGUGCAUGGGAGCUUCUUUGCAUGAAUCAUUGCUCUGGCAGAUUCUUGAAUAGUUCUAUUUUUUCUUUCAACUAUUCCAUUCUGCUGAGGAGUUAUAGGUGGGGAAACUCCUGACUUAUUCCUUCAGACGAGCAAAACUCAUCAAACUUGGAAUUCUUGAACUCCGUACCAUGAUCAUUCUAAUCCGGACCACACAACUGUCCUUUUCCCUUUGAAGUCUUAUGCACAGGUCUUUGAAGACAUUCAAAUGUAUCUGACUUCUCUCUGAUGAAGCUUAUCCACGUGUAUCUGGAAUGGUUCAUCCACCACCACGUAUGCUAUUUCCCACCAAGACUUUCAACUGCAUAGGUCCCAUUAGGUCCAUGUGCAACAGUUCCAGAACUCUGGAGGUUGUGGGAUGUCCCAGCUUCGGAUGUGACAUCUUGCGUUUGCUUCCCACCUGGCAUUCUCCACAGACUCUUCCUUCAUCAAUCAGGAGCUUUGGAACUUCCUCUGACAGCUUCCUUGAUAUUAUCUUCUUCAUUCCCCGUAAGUGGAGAUGUCCAAGACGUUCUUGCACAAACUUCACAUCCUGUUCUUCCUUGGCUGAGGAGCAAUGUUGUGGAAAAGUUUGAGACUUCAGGUUCCACAAGGUCAGUUAUCUUUGGACCUGGUUCCUCUCUUAACUUCAUGAUUGGUCACCAUUUGUUCACAAUGCAUAGCUCCUUAGUAAACUGAACAUGAAAACCCUUGAUCACACAGCUGACUUAUGCUGAUGAGGUUUGCAGUUAGUCCUCUUACUAACAGCACAUUAUUCAGUUUUGGCACUCCAGAACAGUCCAGUUUGCCACACUUUUAUUUUCCUUUGGCCACCAUCACCAAAGGUCACAUAGCUGGUAGUUGUGAGGUUGAAUAUCUACCAGUAGAUUUUCCAUACCAGUCAUGUGUCUUGAGCAUCCACUGUCAAAGUACCAGUCUUCUCUGGUAAGAAGCCCUUAGAGCAGUGUGUGCUAUCCUAGCAUACCAUUUGUGCUUCUUAAUGGGACAUAGCGCUUAUGUGUUUUAUGCUUAGGCUUAACAUGCAAGGCUUGUAGGGAAACCAUGAAUCCAGUUGCAGAAGGCUUUUAUAAUGACCAAGCCUCCACCAGUGGUGACACCUCCACUCCUGUGGUAUUUCCUCUUCUGAUGAUCAUUCAUCCUAGUUUCUCGAUGUUGAGACGUUGGCUUUGACUUCCGCUUGAACUUCUGAACUUUGGCCUUUGGGCGUUUUGUGUUCAUUGAGGAUCUUUCCCAAAUCAGAAGGUCAGAUUUGGUUUCAGACUGCUGUCCCACCUUUAGAAUCUCCUCCAAGGUGUCAGUUCCCUUAUUCAUCAUUCUGAAUGGAUUUAGUCAUCUGAUUCAGCUUGGAGGUCAGCAGUGUUAUCUCACCAUUAGACCCUCUAUGACAGACAGUUGCAUUUCUCUCAUCUUCCAGUUCCUUGAUGAGUUUCUUUUGCUUUUUCCUUGUGCACGGCACUUCUGCACUGGUGGACACAGCUUCUUAUGGCUGCAUCAAGUUCAUCAAAGGUCAGUUCAUCUGCACGAGUCAAUCUUCCAGAGCACAAACAACUGGUUUAAGUGCUAGUGACAUGUUGGCAGAUUUCACCUUCAGAUUCACUUUCAGAGUCCCUUCAGACCAAUGUGAUAGGCUAAACCCUUAAUUGCAAUUUGAGGUAAGUAGGGCAUUCCAGCUUCUGACGUGUCCAUACCCUUCACGAACCCAAUGACACACUGGAUUCCCUUGCCGUGAUUGAACUUUCAAUGCAGAAUUGAUCCAUUCCUUUCUUAUGUCAGACGGAAGCACAUGUCUACUUCUGAUCACUUGACAAUAUACGAAGGGUCAGAUCCGAACUGUUCACAUGAAUCAGGUUUGUUAUGAAACAAUUUAAAGAGUUAAAAAAAACUCACCUUUAUCUAAGCUUGCUUCGAUCACUUCAUACCAGUAUCCUGCUUCUGACUCCUCUUUAGCAUUAGAUACAAAAGCUAGCCUUUUGUUCUUCUUUCAGCAUACUCACCAAUCCAUUUCAAGGUUUGGAGGAACCAUGGAGUUCAUCUACCUUCACUGUUGCAGAUGUCCUGCGCCCUCCUCUAUGGCUGUGACCUGUCAUAGCAAUCUCCUUAGGCAAGGACCUGAGAUCUUCUUACAAGUUUUCCUUCAGCCAUUUUUCACCUGUCCACCAGAGGUGUUGCAAUUCAAGAAUAUUCAUGUGAAAGUUCAUGAAUAGUCUUCAUCCUCUUUCAUUCCUCAGAUUUUCAAAAACUUGGUGUCAGCAUCUGCGAAGUUUGGACAUUUCCUUCAACCUUGGAAGUACCUUCAUAUGAGUUACCUGAGAGUAUCCCAAACUUCCUUAGCUAGUUUCACAGUGGUGUACCAGCCUGAAGAUGUUCUUUGCUGAUUCCAUGUGAACAAUGCAUUCAAAGGCCUGGAAUUGCCAAGAGCUAAUGCCGUCUUGCUCCUUGUCCACUCUUCUUCAGGAAUCUGCACACUGACUCCAUUUCUUCACCUGUUCCUCAUUGGAUGUUCCCAUCCUUUGUUGACAGCUCUCCAGACUUUGCUGUCUAAGAACCUUAAGAAGGCUAUCAUUACGAGGCUUCCAGUCAUCAUAAUUAGAGCCAUCCAACAUGGGUGGUCUGUUUGAGUAUCCUAAAUCCUUGUCCAUGGUACUAGAAAGUAACUUCCCUAGAUCUCACCCAGAAAUUCAAGGCAGGGUGCCUGCUCUGAUGCCAAUUGAAUUCUAGUAUCAAGACUUUGGAUGUUCACACUGGUUGUUAGACAUCCAAUUCUGCACAGACAGGGAUUAUGCAGAACUUAACAGUAAGUGCCAGUAAAUAACACAAGUAAUUGUUCACCCAGUUCAGUCCAACAUGACCUACAUCUGGGGGCUACCAAGCCGGGAGGAAACCACUAUUAGUAGUAUCAAUUCAAAGCUAAACUCACCCGUUUACAACUUAUCACUUAAAUCCCUACCCAAUGCAAUUUCAAUCUUAAACCUAAGAUCAGAGUUCCUACUCACUCCCCCUCAAUCACCUCAGUGUUACUAUCUUUAACAAUAUUAAAGACAAGUUGAAGUCACACUUCAAACAACUCUUGAUUGUGUUCACAGCUUUAUCAAGAUACACAGCACUCACGCUUAAAGCUUUUGAGUGACCACAACACUUACAACUCAAUGAACACCCUAUGCCAAAAGCUAUCAUCUACUUGAUAAUGACUUGGCUUUACAAAAUACGUCUAAUACAAGACUCACAAAAAUACAGCAGUGAAAGUAUGAUGGACCCACAAAUUCUUCACGCCUCAAAAUCCCUGAAACUGAAAUGAAGGAACGCCUUCCUUUUUUAUAUUGCAGUACCCUGGGCUUUUGCAUCUGUAUUCUCCUGAUUUAAGGUCACGCGAGUUGCCAUAAAUUCAACAUUUAGGUUACUAACAAAAUAGGCUAUUUGUUAGGUUCAUUGAAUGUAGCUUGGUUGUUGAUUUCCUGGUUUUUUCUCUAAGCUGUUGACUUCCUGAAGAAUAGCCUGAGAAAAGACUGAAACAGAAAACUGAACAACCUACAAUAUAGCAUAUGCUGUCAGGCAUGAAUGUCACGAAUUCAGCUUGACAUCAAGGCCAUAUGCUGAGGUCUGUUUUUCCAGAAAACAGACUGUACAAUUUUGCUGACCUGUACAAUGAUCAAAAUGACCAUACUACAGUGACAGCUUACAUUAAUAAAUGUCCAAUAGUGUGCACUUAACAUUUACACAAUUGGCCUUAAGUUAGUUCUGUUAUUCUUUUGAAGAACAAACUAAGUUACAUGCUGAAGAUAUACAGAACACACCUCUGUCUAAUCUUCAGGCCAGCUGGCGUGUCAAUGAUGAAUGUCAUAAACAAUCCAGUUUGACAUUCAGUCAAGUAGGCCUUAAUGCCAGGUCUGGGUCUUCCUUGAUAAACCAGACUGGAAAUAAAUACUAAGUUCUUGACAGAACACCUGCUGUUCUAUUUCUUAGUAUCUAAUGACAGGUAUGAAUGUCACAACACUCAGUUUGACCAUUCAAUAAAUCCUGUGUUAGCUAGUCCUGCAGUAACUACAAUGUAGUCACACAUACAUGUCAUGACAUCAGUCAGGACAUUAGUAACCAUCUAGUGUUUUACCAUAUAAUGCAGCCAAUUAAACACCUACACUCUCCCUCCUUCUUCUUUGCAAAGCUUCCAUAUCUCUUUGCUGAAGAGCUUUCCUCUCGAGUUAAGCGUCCUUCACGGACCCCCUCUUCCAAUCUCAUUCCCAUAUUCACCAUCUCGGUGAAGUCUGAGGGAGCACUGACUAUUAUUCUCUCAUAAUAGAACGAGCUCAAGGUCUUCAAGAAGAUCUUGGUCAUCUAUUUCUCCUCAAGGGGAGGCACUAUCUGAGCUGCCAACUCGCGCCACCUCUGGGCGUAUUCUUUGAAGGUCUCUUUCUCUUUUUGGGACAUCGCCCUCAACUGGUCCCUAUCAGGAGCCAUAUCCACAUUGUAUUUAUAUUGCUUGACGAAGGCCUCGCCAAGGUCGUUGAAAGAGCGAAUGUUCGAACUUUCCAGACCCAUGUACCAACGGAGAGAGGCAUCGGACAUACUGUCCUGGAAAUAGUGGAUGAGGAGCUGGUCAUUAUCAGUUUGUGUCGACAUCUUGCGAGCAUACAUCACAAGAUGACUGAGAGGGCAUGUGUUUCCCUUAUACUUCUAAAAGUCAGGCACUUUGAAUUUAAUAGGGAUUUUCACGUUGGGCACAAGGCACAACUCAGCAGCACUUUUACCAAAGAGGUCCUUCCCCCUCAAAGUCUUCAGUUCCUUGCGAAGCUCAAGGAAUUGGUCUUUCAUGUCAUCCAUCUUUUCAUAAACUCUGGGCCCUCAGAUGGCUCAGAAUGAUAGAUGGUAUCUUCGACCCUUGGUAGUGUGUGCACGACGGGAGGUGACACUGGAAGGACCGGGCUAGAUGCCAGCAGAGAAGCAAGAGUUGGAGCAAAACCUUCUGGCACAAAGUUGGCGGGCAUUCCCCAAGGGAACCCGGCUGGCAUAGAUGGUGCAAAGUGAGUUGUUGCAGCAGGCACAGUAGAAGUUACGAUCUCAGAAAUGACCGUCCUCUGGGGAGGAGUUGAGGGUGUUAGAGAAGACUGGCUCUGGGCAGCUAAGAAUGACUCCAUCAGGGCAGUCAAUCUGGCUACUUCCUCCUUCAAUUCGCGGUUCUCUUGUUCCAAAUGAUCCAUCAGUCUUGCGGAGUUGGCUCUAGUGUAAUACCGAUGAGUCAGCUUGUCUUCAAAAUAAAUGAAGAAUACAGAGUUAGACCAUAGGACAAGAAGCUUGGAGCAAAACCUGCUUAUGCACAUGAUGCAUGCAAUGCUUGUGCAUAUGAUUUAUUUUUAUUUCAGAGGAACUUUAGAGUUCUAUUUGCAAAAAAAAAAGGGAAAUAUUACAUUUUCUAUCAUAUAUGGAAACAUCUCAUCAAUAAUAUCUGGAAAAUAUUUUUUUACACCAAAGAAGUACAACAUUGGUAACCAAACACAAGAGAAAAGGAAAAUAAUCAUCCUAUGGAUCCCUAGAAACAAUCAUCUAAAGCUCGGGACACAGGAAAAUAUGAUGCACAAAGCCUCUUAACCUCCUCCUCAUAGGUUGCCUCCAUAUCUGCCUUCUCCUUGGCGAGUCGAUCAUACUUCCUCUUCCAAAACCUAGAAGACUGAGGAAGUAGAGAAGUCCAUGCAUCAUCAGGAUCAUCAAUGACCUGAUGCUCAAGGAAUUCUAUCAAAGCAUCUUUCUCCUUGAUCUGCUGAAGCAACUCUUCUCGUUCACGGAUCCAAGCACGUGAACGGUCUUCAUCUCUCAACUCCUCUACUCCUUGAUCAGGGAGGGUUGAUGGCCCAGCCAUAACCAAAGGCGUAGGUCUUGGAUACUCGUAAGGCAUGAGGUACUCAGAAGCUCUCCUCCUAACCCAAGUAGUGUAAGGCUCCAAAGCGACAUAGUUCUUUGGACCUAACUCCUUCCUUCCUUUCCUAUGAAUCUUGCGCCAAGCGCGGACCAUCCUGCCCUUCAAGCCUUGGGGAUCUUUACCCUCCUGAAAGAACAUACCCUCCAACAGAAUGUUAUUGGGUUUAUCCUUUAGGGGGAACCCAAGCUGACGACGUGCCAAAAUGGGGUUGUAACUAAUCCCACCACAUGUACCAAGAAGAGGUACAUUGGAGAAUUCACCAUAAGAGUCGAUAAUCUGCACACCAUCAUACACACGGUUGUACCAAGAGAUAUCAUCAUUGGUGAGAGACAUUAGUCUCGUGGACCACCGUAGACAUCCUUUGUUAUCCUUGAAGGCGACCGUCUGCGGUAAGUGAGAAAUAAACCACUUAUACAACAGAGGCAAACAGCACACAAUGGCACCACCACCAUUUGCAUUCCUCAUAUGCAAAGAAAAAUAAGUGUCACCCAACAGAGUCGGAACGGGAUUAAGAGUAGAGAAAAUCCUAAUAGCGUUCACAUCCACAAACUUGUCGAUGUUGGGGAAUAACACUAACCAUCAUAUGCAAAGAAAAAUAAGUGUCACCCAACAGAGUCGGAACGGGAUUAAGAGUAGAGAAAAUCCUAAUAGCGUUCACAUCCACAAACUUGUCGAUGUUGGGGAAUAACACUAACCCAUAGAUGAGCAGUACAAAUAUGGCCUCAAAGGCGUCCUCACUCAUGGCCUUCCCAUACAUAGUAGCUUCAGCAAUGAGGAACUCAGAAGGGAGACCUUGAAUUCCACCUUUGGUAGUCAUAUGAGCACCAAUCAGAGAUUCAUCUAUAUGCAACAUAUCAACUAUCUCUUGAGAAGUAGGAAUACUCUCCAAGCCACUGAACGACAACUGGUCUAGAAUAGGUAUACCCACAAGGUAGGCAUACUCCUCAAGCGUAGGCAAAAGCUGAAAAUCUGAAAACGUGAAGCAGCGAUACGAAGGAUCAUAAAACUGCACCAAUACACUCAUCAACCCUUCAUCCACUUGAGUAGUCAGAAGAGGAAGAAGCUUCCCAAAACGAGCUUUAAAACCCAAAGGAUCAAUACAUAGGAUGUCAAAUUCCUUAGCUCUUUCAAGUCUGGUUGUCUGAAAUUGUACUUCUUUGUAUUCCUUCUUUGUCUUUCCAUGUCUGAAAAUUUGCAAAUAGACCUCUUAAGUUCCUUGAAAAUUUUCUUAUUAUUUUGAUGAUAUGGAUGCAGAUGGGUGCAUAAAUCAACAACCACACUUAAGGAUCAAACAGAGCACACCAAGCAAAGGUCAUGGGAUGGGUCAUGGCAUCCUUAAUAUCAAUCAUCCAUUUUUGUGGAUUAUGGCUUACACCUUAUCAACACCCAAGUUCCAUUGAUAUUAAGGAUACAUGAACGGAUCAACCACGAAUCAAGGGUUUGUUGCAAGUCACGAGCAUGGAGUCUCGGUUUAGAACCACCCAAAGGGAGUGUACAGAGAGAGAUCAUGAUGAAGAGAUGAGAAAAGACUAUACAAGUUUAUUUUUUUAAAUUUUUUUGUGUAGGAUGGAUAAACCAUUGCUACGUACCAUCUUUAAAAAAAGAUUAGGAUCAAAACCUCGUAGUAGUCAGCGGUAAAAAUCUCCAAGAGUUGGUGAAUUGAUUGGUCCAAAAGCUUAAGGUCUUUUGUUAUCCAAGGAGUAAAACUCAACCUAAAACCACAAAUCCACCAUGUGAGGAUAGCUUCACAUGCUAGUGAGGGUGUAACCUGAUAAUAAGCAUGGAAGACUCAUUGUCAUCAUUAAGGAUAUAAGUGAGCAUUUAUACUACCUCAGGAUAACUCAAACCUAACAGCUAAAGGUUACUGAAAAUUUGAUUAAGAAAGUGCCAUGAACACAAAAAGAUUUAGAUGGGUUAUAUUUACCAAUGAAAGUUAUUUACAAACUAUGGUCAAAUGGAUUAAAGAGUCAAUUCAAAAGCUUUAUGAAAAGAAAGUUUUGAAAAUCAAAAGGCAUAAGGCUGUAGGUUUCUAAUGUUGAAAACAAGUGUAGAUGUUGCACAAAGUUUUGGCUUGGGUUAGAGGUGAGAGAAGAAGAAGAAUGGCUAAAAGUCUUAAAACAUACAAGAGGAAGGGACAAGAGAAAACCAAAUGGAGUCUCUCUUUGAGAUCAAUAUUGAUGAUGCCAGUAGCUCCNNNNNNNNNNNNNNNNNNNNNNNNNNNNNNNNNNNNNNNNNNNNNNNNNNNNNNNNNNNNNNNNNNNNNNNNNNNNNNNNNNNNNNNNNNNNNNNNNNNNNNNNNNNNNNNNNNNNNNNNNNNNNNNNNNNNNNNNNNNNNNNNNNNNNNNNNNNNNNNNNNNNNNNNNNNNNNNNNNNNNNNNNNNNNNNNNNNNNNNNNNNNNNNNNNNNNNNNNNNNNNNNNNNNNNNNNNNNNNNNNNNNNNNNNNNNNNNNNNNNNNNNNNNNNNNNNNNNNNNNNNNNNNNNNNNNNNNNNNNNNNNNNNNNNNNNNNNNNNNNNNNNNNNNNNNNNNNNNNNNNNNNNNNNNNNNNNNNNNNNNNNNNNNNNNNNNNNNNNNNNNNNNNNNNNNNNNNNNNNNNNNNNNNNNNNNNNNNNNNNNNNNNNNNNNNNNNNNNNNNNNNNNNNNNNNNNNNNNNNNNNNNNNNNNNNNNNNNNNNNNNNNNNNNNNNNNNNNNNNNNNNNNNNNNNNNNNNNNNNNNNNNNNNNNNNNNNNNNNNNNNNNNNNNNNNNNNNNNNNNNNNNNNNNNNNNNNNNNNNNNNNNNNNNNNNNNNNNNNNNNNNNNNNNNNNNNNNNNNNNNNNNNNNNNNNNNNNNNNNNNNNNNNNNNNNNNNNNNNNNNNNNNNNNNNNNNNNNNNNNNNNNNNNNNNNNNNNNNNNNNNNNNNNNNNNNNNNNNNNNNNNNNNNNNNNNNNNNNNNNNNNNNNNNNNNNNNNNNNNNNNNNNNNNNNNNNNNNNNNNNNNNNNNNNNNNNNNNNNNNNNNNNNNNNNNNNNNNNNNNNNNNNNNNNNNNNNNNNNNNNNNNNNNNNNNNNNNNNNNNNNNNNNNNNNNNNNNNNNNNNNNNNNNNNNNNNNNNNNNNNNNNNNNNNNNNNNNNNNNNNNNNNNNNNNNNNNNNNNNNNNNNNNNNNNNNNNNNNNNNNNNNNNNNNNNNNNNNNNNNNNNNNNNNNNNNNNNNNUUAAAAAAGAUUAGGAUCAAAACCUCGUAGUUCGGGGUAAAAAUCUCAAAAUGAGUUGGUGAAUUGAUUGGUCCAAAAGCCUUAAGGUCUUUUGUUAUCCAAGGGAGAAAACUCAACCUAAAACCACAAAUCCACCAUGUGAGGAUAGCUUCAACAUGCUAGUGAGGGGUUAACCCUAUAAUAAGCAUGGAAGACUCAUUGUCCAUCACUAAGGAUAUAAGUGAGCAUUAUAUCUACCUCAAGGAUAACUCAAACCUAACAGCUAAAGGUUAUGAAAAAAUUUGAUUAAGAAAGUGGCCAUUGAAACCACAAAAAAGAUAUUUAGAUGGGUUAUAUUUACCAAUGAAAAGUAUUUACAAAAUAUGGUCAAAGUGGAUUAAAGAUUCAAUUCAAAAUAAGCUUUAUGAAAAGAAAGUUUGAAAAUCAAAAGCAUAAGGCUUAGGUUUCUAAUGUUGAAAACAAGUGUUAGAUGUUUGCACAAAAGUUUUGGCUUGGGUUAGAGUGGAGAGAAGAAGAAGAAUGGCUAAAGUCCUAAACAUACAAGAGGUAAGGGACAAGAAGCAAAACCACAAAUGGAGUUCCUCUCUUGAGAUCAUAUUGAUGAUCCAAGUAGCUCCCAUCCUUUGGAAUAAGCAAUCACAUAAGCAUAAACUCAAGCAAUCAAUCAAUCAAAUGAACUCUUGGAAAGUUCCUCAAGGUAUCUUGGAUCCCUUUCUCUUAGAAGCUCAUGGUAAUGGUUCCUCAAUUUGGAUCAAGUUGGGAUCCCUAGCACAAGAACACACAUAUUAAAAGGUUCUAGCAAACAAAAAAGGAAUGGACAAGAAGAGUUUAGAAGUUGGUCCUUUCAAAGUCAUCUUCAACAUUGAGCAUUCUAAAGGCCUAAUGCCUAGUUGCUCUUUGACUUUUAUAGCACUCUAGUUUCUCUUUGACUCCAAAUUUGCAUAGGGAAGGUCCUAAAGUCUAAGUCCAUUUUGUCCAAUUCUUUGCAUUUGGUCAAUAACAAUCAAACAAAACACAAGCACAAAAGUAUAUACACAAUCACAUGCUCAAGUGAGCAAAAGGCAAAUUGCAUUAACAUAAACAUGUGCUCCAAUGAGCAAAGGAAAAAGCAAAUGACUAAUGUGUACAAGAAUAACAAAUUGCAUAAAUGUAAAGUGCAAAAAGUAAAUGUUAAUGGUUAAUAGUUAGUAGUUAGUGUGCCAUAAGGAAAAUUUAGCGCUAUGUUAAGCAAUCGUAAUUGGACUUAUGUAGAAGUCACAACCAUCUGAGGCCGGUCAAUAAUAAUGUAGGCAACAACACAAGUUAGAAGUCUUGAUAGUGACCAAGUCCAACAACUUGCCAUGCCAAAAGAAGAAGAGAACGAUGCUGUAUUGGUUUAAGUCCUUUGCAUGAUUUAGGAAGCAAUCUAUCCUUAAUGCAAAGUCAUUUCACAAUUGAUCAUUUGAUCAAGAUGAAUUAAUUGAAUCAAGAAGAUUAAACCUCCUAUCAAUGCUAACUUACUCAAACCUUUAACUCAUUGAUCAAAAAGAAAAGAAGAAGGAGAAGGAUGAAGAUGGAAUGGAAAUGAAAAAGAAAUAAGUACAUUAAAUGAAAUGAAUGUACCAAUCAACAAGGUUGACCAAUGACAUUGACGGAUCAUUGGUCAAACAAUCAAAACAGAAGUGAGAUGAAGAUUCUGGAAUCAAGAAUGAACAAAUAGUUUUUUGGCAAUUUUUAAAUAUUUGAAAAUAAACUGAAUUAAAAAUAUUAAAGAAUGGUCAAACUUCAAAAUAACUUCACAAUCAACUUUGAAAAGCCAAGUGAUUAUCCCAAGUUCAACAAGGUAAACAAAGUUUGAAAUUUUUUUUUGAGCAUUUUAAAAGUCGAAACUAUUUUUUAUCAAUUAAAAAUGAAUAAAAUAACCUAUUGAACUAAAAUCUCAAAUAAAUCUCAAUCAAUUAAAAGUGUGAUGAGAAUAUUUUUUCAAUAGAUCCUAUCAUUCAACUAGGUUGAGAAAUAUUUUUGAUUUUUUUGAAUAUCAAAAAUAUUAAAAUGAAUAAAAAUAACAGAAAAGAAGAAAAUUCACAAAAAAUAUCAAAUGAUGAAAUAAAAAAUAUUAAAAUCAUUGUUUAGGAAACUAGAAUUAAAAUAGAGAAAAAGCAAUUGUCCCCAUAUUUUUUGGAUUUUAAAAUGAGAGAGUUGUGAAUUUUUGAAGUUAAAUUGAAAUAAAAGAAAAAAAUUGGAAAAUUAUAAAAAUCAGAAAAAAACCACAGCGCUUGGAUGGAACCUCAUUAAUUGACGUGUCCAAUCUGAUGGUCAUGAAGCGCGCGCGUACCAAAGGCUCAAGUCAAACGCGUCACACAAUGCAUUUAAAAAAGUCAUAACAAACAAAGGUCAUGAUUCAAUCUAGGAAAUAGAUCAAACAGUCCACAUGGGAUCUGGCAACAGGGACGGUGGCCAGCGCCACCGUCUUCUCCGGUGAGCUCCGACGAGGGCAAAAAACACAGAGGUUCAAAUGCUCACCAAAAUGGACGAUCUAGGCAUCAAUCGAAAGAGGAAGUGAUGUACAUCACUCUUAUACCACUCACUUCCACUCUAGAUUCCUAUUAAGAGAGAAAUCAGAGAUGGAAGCUUGAUGGUGUUCGACAUGAACUUGCUUGAUUUCAAAAAUUGAGCAUACAGCAAUGAUGCCUCUAUAGAGAGGACUUCAGACAACACAAUAUCAAGGCCAACAGAUCAAAGAAUAAGGAGUUUCGAAGAACAAACCAGUUGAUGCACACCUUUGAAUUGUGAAGCUUUGAUUCCCUUUCCUUGGUUCCUUUUUCAAAACAGAACUUCAAUGGAUCAGAUGAUGAAGGUUUAGGAACUUUAGAUCUGAAGAUUCAACCAAAUUCAAUCGAAUUUCAGAUCUGAAUAUUUUGAAGAAAAUGGAUUUAGUUCCUUUGGUAUGGACAAUGGAUCAGAUGAUGAAGGUUUAGGAACUUUAGAUCUGAAGAUUCAACCAAAUUCAAUCGAAUUUCAGAUCUGAAUAUUUUGAAGAAAAUGGAUUUAGUUCCUUUGGUAUGGUUGGGAAUUCACUAUUGCAGCAUUUCAGGCGCCCUUAGGUUACCAUUUGAAGUGAGCAAGGCUUUCUAUUUAUAGAUGGAGCUGAUGCCAAGUGAGGAAAAACUUGUGUGCAUGAAGCUUUGGGUCCUCCGUGCAUGGGCCUGUACAGGCGCAUGCGAGGCCCAAAAGCUGAUGGAAAUGAAAGCUGAGCUCAUUCUGAAGUGAAAUGGACGUGCAUUUUGAAUGGUAUUUGCUUGGGCAUGAAGCUUUCACAUGAGUUCCAUAAUUAUGCCUAAAUGUUCACCUCUUCGAAAAUGCCAAUUAGAAAAUCCAAACAUAAGCAUGUGGGUAAUGGUUGGAAAGGUAUUGACAUAAGGAACAAAUGUUAUGUUGGACAAAAACUCAUUUGAAGUGUGGAAAUUUAUGAAGAAAAUCCAAACAUAAGCAUGUGGGUAAUGGUUGGAAAGGUAUUGACAUAAGGAACAAAUGUUAUGUUGGACAAAAACUCAUUUGAAGUGUGGAAAUUUAUGAAAACAGGCCAUGAAGUUCAUAGUACAAAACAUGCCUUUGAGAAUUUUGUCAAAAUGAACAACUUCAAACCCUUCUGAUUUGAUGAUGCAAGCUUCAAAUGAAAAAACCUCCAACAUCAAAGUUGUAGAUCUUUUCCAGAAAAUCAAGAUGGACUUAACGUUUACAUCAUUUAGAUUUUUGAUUAAGAAGUUAUGGGCACUUGAAGUUGGACUUUUUUGCCUUUCAAUGCAUUUGGUCCAAAGUGACCUAUAAUGUUUUGCAUUAUCACAUGUAUUUUCUUUGAAAUUAUUAAAUUUUGUUCAACAUAACAUUUGAAGUAGACAAAAUAAGAUUUCCAAUUAAUUUGAUCCCACCUCAAAAUCAUGAAAAAUAAAUGAGUUAUGUUCUUGGGAAGUUGACCCAAAAUUAGGGUUUCAGUCAAAAUGACCUAUAAUGUCUUAGAAUGGGAGAUUACCUUCCAAGAUUCAAAUCAAUUUUUAAUGAACAUGAAAGUUUUUCAUAUUGUCCUUAAGAACAUGUUUUCUUUUAGGAUCAUCUCCAUUUGACCAACACAUAAAAAGUUAGGUCUCAGUGCAUUUCAAAAUAGUCAGAUGAAUGGACUGAUCAACUUUUCAAGUCCACAACUCAUAUCUUGAUGAAUUGAUGAUUGAGGAUACUCAAAUAAGUUCAAAUAUGCAUGAAAUGAUGAAUUAAAGAACUUCCCUUGAUUUUAUUUGACCAUGGGCUAAGGUUGCCUCAUGAGCAAGGCAUUGUGGAUGAUCAGAUGAAUUAGGGUUUCCUUGAGGAACAAACCUCAAACCCUUUGACUUUCUUUGAUCAAAAUGAUGAAUUGAGAUGCUAGGGAGGCAUACUUGAUGGAUGAGAGCUUUGGGAACCAUUGCCAUGCUUGCUUUCAUCUUCUCUUGGCCAUAUCAUUGCACCAAUGAUCUCCUAGAAGCUUUGGGCCUUGAGAUUGCUCAAGCUACAAACAAGAAAUGUUAGUGACAUAUUUUUGUGCUUUUGGUUAGUGAAUAAAAAAUGAGAAAAGCAAUAAUAUACAAUUCAAGCAUGCUUGGUGAUCUCAAACCAAUCACAAGAGAUUGUGCUUUUGGUUAGUGAAUAAAAAAUGAGAAAAGCAAUAAUAUACAAUUCAAGCAUGCUUGGUGAUCUCAAACCAAUCACAAGAGAUACCACCCAAAGGCAAGGGGAACCAAAGUGCUUGUGAUCCUUGAGGCUUUGCAAAUGCAAUGUUAUGAUGCCAUAAGUAAUCUUAGGGCCAAAAUUGGGGUCUUACACCUUCUGAUGACUAUGUUACCUUGACUGAUGGAGGAGAACCUGAAUGUUAUGAUGAAGCCAUGGAGAGUGAUGAAAAGAAGAAGUGGCUGGAUGCUAUGCAAGAUGAAAUGAAGUCUUUGCAUGAUAAUCAUACUUUUGAUUUGGUGAAAUGGCCUAAGGGUAAGAAGGCUUUAGAAAACAGGUGGAUCUUCAGGGUGAAGCAAGAAAGCACUUCUACAUCUCCAAGGUAUAAAGCCAAAUUGGUUGUGAAAGGUUUCAGAUAGAGAAAGGGUGUUGAUUUCAAUGAGAUUUUUUCUCCUGUGGUGAAGAUGUCAUCCAUUAGAACCGUGUUGAGUUUGGCUGCUACUCAAUUAAACCUCCAUCUCGUUUACCUACAGUUUUGGCGAAACCUUCAUGGUGACUUGGAGGAAGAGAUUUACAUGAAGCAACCUGAUGGCUUUCUGGUUAAAGGCAAGGAAGACUAUGUGUGUAGGCUUAGAAAGAGUCUAUAUGGUUUGAAGCAGGCCCCGCGUCAGUGGUACAAGAAGUUUGAGUCAGUUAUGUGUGAGCAACGCUACAAGAAGACUACUUCUGAUCAUCGUGUCUUUGUUAAAAAGUUCGUUGAUGAUGAUUUCAUUAUCCUGUUAUUGUAUGUUGAUGACAUGCUUAUUAUUGGGAAAAAUAUUUCCAUGAUUGACAGGUUGAAGAAGCAAUUGGGCGAGUCAUUUGCCAUGAAAGACAUGGGAGCUGCUAAGUAGAUUCUUGGUAUAAGAAUCAUGUGUGACAGGAACAAGAAGAAACUUUGGCUGUCACAAGAACACUAUGUUGAAAGAGUGUUACAGAGGUUCCAGAUGGAAAAUGCUAAGCCUGUAAGUACUCCUCUUGCUACUCACUUUAAAUUGAGUACUAGUCAGAGUCCUUCCAAUGAAGCUGAAAAAUCAGAUAUGCAACGGGUUCCUUAUACAUCUGUUGUGGGUAGUUUAAUGUAUGAAAUGGUGUGUACAAGGCCUGAUAUUGCACAUGCUGUUGGUACAGUUAGUAGAUUUCUGUCUAAUCCAGGUAGAGAGCAUUGGAAUGCUGUGAAAUGGAUUUUGAGGUAUCUUUGUGGGAUACCCAGCUUGAGGCUUUGUUUUGGAGGUGAUAAGCCUACUCUUGUGGGAUACUGAUCUGAUAUGGCUGGAGAUAUUGAUUCCAGAAAGUCUACUUCAGGCUACUUGAUUAAGUUGCAGGGGAGUGUGUGCAUGGCAAUCCAGAUUGCAGAGGUGGUGUUGCAUUGUCCACUACUGAGCAGAGUUCAUUGCCAUUACAGAAGCAUGCAAGGUGUUAUGGUUGAAGAAAUUCUUGCAAGAGCUUGGUUUUGUUCAAGAUAAGUACUUGCUAUUUUGUGAUAGUCAAGGUGCAAUUCAUCUUGGUAAGAUUCAACUUUUCAUUCUAGGUCCAGCUGAUGUUAGGUAUCAUUGGAUACGUGAUGCUUUGGAUGCUGGGUUGUUGGAAUUGGCCAAGGUUCAUACAGAUGAUAAUGGUGCUGAUAUGAUGACCAAGGCAUUACCGAGAAACAAGUUUGAAACUUGUUGUGAGAUCGCCGAUUUGGCAGUCACCUCCACAUAGUUGUGAGGGGGAGAUAUGUUGGGUUUUGGGCUCCCUUCCUAUAUGGAGAAAGGCCCAAUAUAUGCAAGCCCAUAUGUCUCACUUAACCAAGUGGAGAGAGGUCAGAUUAGGGUAAGUGAGAGAGCUGAAUUCAAAAUAGUGAGGCAAGAGAAAAGUGAGAGAGGAAGAGCAAAACCCAUUUUCGCAUAAAAUAGAGCAGCUGCACUAGAUUCGCGAUUUCUCCUUCGUUCACCGUCGGAUCGGGAUGAAAUUUGGACAGCCGAUUCGUGACUCGUGGUACUUCAAUCUGACUGGUUGGAUCGUCGAUCAGAGGUCUGAGGUGGGAGAAAUCAAGCUCAGACAGUAGCAGUAUUUUCUGGUUUUUCUGUUGAACUUUGUUCUCAAUUUCAUGCUUGUUUUCUCAUUGUUUUGGCUGAUUGUUAUGUUGGUUACCUUGUUGUUUUUGGCUGGUUAUUGAGCACGAAUUUGUGCCAUAUUUAAAAGUCUCUUGUACCCAUAUUUUGGUCAUAGUGGAACUUUAUUACUGACUUGGUCCCGUGGUUGUUUACUUCUCACAUUGAGAAGGUUUUUCCACGUUUAAAAUUAUUGUGUCCCUUGUGUUGGUGAUUUUAGUUGCCGUGAUUAUUUGUUGUUGCUCCUCACAGAUUCUUGCAAGUUUGGGAAAUUGAUUAUCCGCUGCAUAUUGCUCUGUUAGAGUUGUUAUUGUUAUUUGUUGUUGAAUUUUCCCAUUUUAGUUGCCGUGAUUAUUUGUUGUUGCUCCUCACAGAUUCUUGCAAGUUUGGGAAAUUGAUUAUCCGCUGCAUAUUGCUCUGUUAGAGUUGUUAUUGUUAUUUGUUGUUGAAUUUUCCCAUCAGAAGAGGUGUAUGAAGAGAUCAUAAUGAAAAUGUAAGCGAGAGAUUGAAACAGGAAAAAGUCAAGGGAAGGUAAAUUUAUAGAGGUCCAAUAAAAUAGUGACAUUCAACAUAAGAGGGAGCCGAAACUCCAUAAAAAGAAAGAGAUUCAGCCAAAUUCUUUAAAAAGGAAAAGCAAAACUAUGCUUCUUGCAGGAGACAAAACCUCAGACUAUGCAAGAGUUUGGGGUGAAAGGUCUUUGGGGAAAUCAAGAGGUAUAUUGGUAGAAAAGGAGACAGAGGGUAUAUUUAGAGGAAUUCUAAUUAUGUGGGAAAUUACGCUCAAUCAAAUCCCAAAUUCAGUUUCAAAGGGUUUGGCUUUCUUGGAAUUAACCUUGACUGAAAAGGUAACACGUGUUACUUCAUUAGUAUUUAGUUAUCUUGUAAUAUAGUAGACAGGUUUUUAGGGUCUGAUGACUUCUCGACAAGUGUAUCGAUAGUUUCACAGUAAUAACAAGAUCAAAUUCACAGGGACUGCCUUUUAACAAGCUAAAAUGUGUGGAAUGUAUCGAAAAGACUAAAAUUGGGGGGAGGAGGGCUCGAGUUUGCAAUGCUAAAAUUUGAUAAGUGCUUAAACAGAAUUCCGAAAGCAGCCAGGUUGUGUUUAGAAUCCCCUAUUUCUCUAUUGUUGUUGAUGUUUUAUGCCUUGUAUGAAUGAUCUUAUCACUAUAACCCUACAGUGAAUUAACAAAGUCACUAUAACUAAUCCCUCGCGAAAUAACUCAUUAAUCACUACUUGGAGUUUUUUAUCCCUAGUCCACCAGCGGAAGUAGGAUUAGGCGAUACACAUAACAUUAAUUCCCUAUGUCACUACUCGGGGUCUCGUAUUCCUAUUUAACCAGCAUAAGUAUAACAAUUGUCCUAAAUCUAACACAUAGACUAAUGAAAGGGAUAAGUCAAGGUGAAAUAUCCUUCUUAGAAAGAGAUCUGAAGACCACUCCAUCUAGCAUUGGUCGAACAUCAUUUAGUUCCUUAAACCUCUUAGAGAAAUAAGAAAAAACGUGGUUUUAAUCUCUGUCACUCCUUAUACCCCAUCAUUGUCUUUUUCUUAAGGGUCAUAACAAUUUAUCUUAAAUAACAUAUACAUGAUCUACCCCGCCUACCUAAAUACUACAUUAUUUGGUAUAUGAAGCUACUUAUUUUAUAGAAGAAAAUAAAUUAGAAUUUCACAAAAUAAUUAUUAAUAAGAAGCCUAUAUAAUAAAAACUGUAGUGUAGUCCCAUAAAUGCUACUCUAUUUUUAUUUUCUUUUUUUAUAUAAAAAAGGGGGCUAAAAACCCAACGAAAAAAGAAGUCUAAAUACACCCUCUAACACGUUUAAAGAGUGAAGUCUCGAAAUUAUCAUCAUUUCAACUCAUUUGACAUGAGAUUCAAAAGAAUGAGGAAUUCAUGAUUGUCAAAGUAAGAUUAUAAUUAGCUAUCCAAAUUGUACUAUGAUUUCCUUCCUGCCACGAAUGGUUGAACUUGAUGUGUCAAUUCUUAUUAGUCAUCCUUAUGAUUCUAUGAAUUAAGGUUACUCAGUUGUGAUCUUCCUUAGUAUCUUGGUUAACCAUAUCUAUCAUGACUUUAGAAUCACUCUCUACCAUCAAAUUUGUAAUUCUAUCAUAUCUCGUUAGCUCAAUCUCAUGCAACAUCAUACGCAUCCCCGCGGUGAAAAUAUUACACAAAUCAAUUUUUUGUGAAUAGCUCAUCACCAAGUUUUUGGAGGAGACUUUAAACAAGCGUUGCAAGUUGACUUUUUGGAGACACCAUCGCAAUUGAUGUCGCUCGACUUUUUUAUAUCAAUUUAAUUCAUAGAAUAUAUGUGAAUGAAACCAUAAAAUUGAAAUUUUAAUACUCUUUUCCAAUAAUAUAAUAAUUUUAUAAAAAUAAAAUUCUUACAAUACAUUUCAUUUUGUGCAUAACUAUGAUGUCACAAAAUUUUUGCGAUAUAUUUAUUUUAUAAAAUAUCCUCCCUAUCAUAAAAGUUUGAAGAGUUAAUUGGAAACAAAUAAAUUUCAAUUAUUGGAAACACAUAAGAGACAAUUAGGAAUCAUUCUAAUUUUACAGAUGGUAUUUUACAACCUCUUAAGAGGUAAAAUUAUAUAUUUUUAAAUUAUCACAACAUGUACUUUAUACACUAUAAAAGAUUCAAACCACAUUCGAUUUGUUUCAUGUAAAGAGAGAAAAAUAUGGUUAAAACUAUUAAGUUUGUUUAUGCUUUAAUUUUAUUUCUUUUUAUAAUUUUUAUUGCAAAGAAUGUUGAUGGUAAUUUACCUUUUUCAUCCAUUUCAAAAUCCCUUCUUUAAUUGCAAUUCGUAUAAAUAAUUAUUUAUUUAUUUUAGUAACAUUUAUUUUGUUAUUUCUUUACAGCAUUACAAGACUGUAAAGUGGAUGCUGAUUGUCCACAAAAUUCUUGGACUCGCAUAUAUAGGUGCAUUGAAAACAAAUGUAGAUAUACAAGAGUGAUGAAAUAUAAUGAAUGACUAUGUGGCCCUAGAGACUAUAUUUACAACAUGAAGAGAAGAAUAAGUUUUUACACUAAUAAAAAUCUAUUCAAUAGACAUUUUUAUUUUUUAUUUUGCGGAAUUUGAGAUUAUGGCUUUGUAAUUUAAAAUCUUUAUAAUAAAAUGAAAUAAGGCAUUGAAGAAUAUUAUAAUUAGAGUGUUUUUUUCUCUAUUUUGGCUGCAUUGGCUUCCCAUCUAUCCAAAUUUCCAUUGAAUCUAACAUUGUUUUUAGUUGUAAGCAUAAUUAAGAAGGAAUGGUUGGAAACAUGAGCAUAAAACAUGUAAGACUUUAAAAUCCUAACAAUUAAAGGAUAUUACGGAAAGUUUUUAUAAAUGGUGUUAACUUACUCAAAGAGAUUAUGAUAUUGCAGUGGAAUUCAAAAUACUCAAAUAAUUGUAAUUAUCUCAAAAUAGAAAAUACUUUAUUUAAAUAAAUAAUCCAAUAACUUAUAAUACAAAGAAAAAAUAUGUAACUCAUCUUAGUGUUACAUUAUCAGAGUGAUACGCAAAAACUUGAAUAAUUCAAAAGCGGUUGUAAGACCCUAAUUUUGACCCUAAGAUCCCUCGUGGCAUCAUAUCAUUGUUCAUUACAUUUGCCUCAAGGAUCAUAGCAUCUUGGCUCCUUUACCCUAGGGUUGGGACUUGUGUGAGUUGGUUUGAGACCACCAAGCAUGCUUGAAUUGUAUAUUAUUGUUUUUCUUAUUUUGUUUACUAACCAAAAGCACAAAAAUAUGUCACUAACAUCUUUUGUUUUGAAGCUUAAGCAGUCAUGUGAUUUAAGGCUCCUAGGAGGCCCCUAUGCCCAUUGAAAUGACUCAAUAAAGAUGGAAGCAAGCAUGACAAUGGUUCACAAAGCUCUCAAUCAUCAUAUAUAUCUCCCAAGUAUCUCAAUUUGUCAAUUUGAUCAAGAUAAACCAAAGGGCUUGACGAUUGUUUCCCAAGGAAACCCUAAUUCAACUGUGCAUUGACUGUGUCUUGCUCAUGAAGCAACCUCAACCUAUGAUCAAAUACAAUCAUAGGAAUUUUUUUCAUUCAUAAUUUUAUGCAUAUAUGAGCCUAUGUGAGUAUCCUCAAUCAUUAAUUCAUUAAGAUUUGAAGUUUGGCUUUGAGAAGUUGAUCAGUUAAUUCAUCUGACUAUUUUGAAACCCACUGAGACCUAAAUUUUGAUGUGUUUGUCAAAUGAAUAUGACCCUAAGAGAAUAAAUGUUCUUAAGAAUCAUAUGAACAACUUUCAUGUUCAUCAAAAAUCCAUUUGAAACUUGGAAGGUCAUCAUUCAUUUCAAAACAUUAUAGGUCAUUUUGACUGAAACCCUAAUUUUGGGUCAACUUCCCAAGGACCUAACUCUUUCAUUUUUUAUGAUUUUGAGGUGGGAUCAAGUGCAUUGGAAAUUUUAAUAUGUCUAAGUCAAUUGUUAUGUUGGACAAAAUUUCAUAAUCCUAAAAUAAACACAUGUGAUAAUACAAAACAUUAUAGGUCACUUUGGACCAAGCCAUUGAAUCUUGAAAAAGUUCAACUUCAAGUGCCCAUAACUUUCUCAUCAAAAAUCCAAAUGAUGCAAAAUUUAAGUCCAAAUUUAUUGCCUUGAAACUAUUUACAACUUUGAUGUUGGAGAUUUUGUCAUUUGAAGCUUGCAUUAUUGAAACAGAAGGGCUUGAAGUUGGUCCUUUUUGGUAAAUUUUUCACAUACAUGUUUUGUACCUUGAACUUCAUGGCCAAUUUUCACAAUUUUCAAAACUCCAAAUGGAUUUUUGUCCAACAUAUCUUUUGUUCCUUAUGUCAAGACCUUUCCAACCAUUACUCACAUUCCUAUGUUUGAAUUGUCCAAAUGGGACUUUCAAAGAGAUGAAUAUUUGUGAUCAUUUGUGGAAACCAAGUGAAAUCUUCAUGCACAAGCCAAUGCCUUUCAAUCUGCACGUCCAAACUGAUUUCACUUGAGUUCAGCAUGCAAAACCAAUUGAUUUUGGGCCUCACAUGCGCCUGUACAGGCCCAUGCAUGGAGGACCCAACUUCAUGCACACGAGUUUGAUCACCCUUGCCUUGCAUUUCCAUCUAUAAAUAGAAGCGUCAUUUCAUUCAAUUGGCAACCUGAAGGCGCCUGAACCUCUGCUGAAUUAAUUCCCCAACCUCUCACCAAGGGAAUUCUGAAUUUUCACUUCUCUUUUCAAGCUUAAAUUUCAACUUCCCUGGUUGAUCUUUAGCUUCUAAUUCCUUAGCCUUGCUUCAUUGUGUCAUACCCUGAUUUUGGCCCUGAAAUUUUUUCCAUCAAUCAUUCGUUUGCAUUCUGUUUUUUUCAUGACCAUUCCAUCUGGUCAUGAUGCUACCCACCAACAUUAGUUGUUGGACUUGCUACCACGACCAAUCCAUGUUUGUCUUUUGGGCUUUGUUUCUUGAUUUUUGGUAUAAGAUGAUUAUUCUCCUUAGCCAUGCGAGAUUUGAAAACUCUUUCAUUGGUCGCAAUCAAGUGAGCCUCAUGUUUCAUCUUUCGUUCUAGUUUCAUCGAAGUGAUUAUUCAUCUCGCCUUAUCACAUUAUUAGUUCUCACUUUCUUUCAAAGAAAUUAUGUGUCAAGUGUAAAACAUUUUGUUUUGGGUCAUCAUUCAUCAUUCAUUUUCUCAUUCAUUCAUAAUUCAAAGAAAUUCCAUACAUGCUCCUUCAUUCAUGUUCAUAUUUACUAUUUCAUAUUUUUACGUUUUUUCACAUUCCAAAUUUGCAUUCGUAUUUUCUUACUAUUUCAUAUUUUUACGUUUUUCACAUUCCAAAUUUCUAUUCAUAUUUUCUUCAUUCACGUUGAAAUAUUUUCAUUCAUAUUAAAGGAAUUCUACAUACUCAUUCAUAUUUCAUUUAUUUCGUUCAUUCAAUCAUGAUAUGGCAUAUGAACAAAGCAUCUUAUCACAUGAAUAUAUGGAAGGUUUAAAUCACAAGAUGACAAGUUCGGUUUUGCCGCAACAGUACCAAUUUCUUUUUCAUUCACAUCAUGAGCAGGAUGCAUUUGAAUUUGAGAAACAUGAGUGUUCUUCUGGAAACAAUGACAGGAAUGCAUGCAGAAAAUUGCUUGCUUUCACAUGGCUUGUGUGAAUCAAACGCUGUCAUAGGUGAUCUGAAGGAACACAAUUUUAGAGUAGGGGAAGAACUAGAAAUGUGCAGAAUUUUGAAAGGGAAACUGCUUGCUGAUAUCCAUAAUAGCUUUGAUCGAAUCACGAGGAAAGAAGUGGAAGCUGGAGAGAUCACCAUCAGAUCUACAGCUUCAGGAGGAGAUGAUGCUGCAAAGUUCUAAUGAAAUAGGAUCCCAACUUGCUACGUUGAUGAAGGAAUUGGCUCUGAGUAAUACCGAUGUUGUGGUAAUCCUUUUAGAUCAAGAGAAACUACUGAGACAGAAAGUAGAAGACACCGAGUCUCAAGCUGAAUUUCUUCUGGUAGAUUGAUAUGCCAAAGAAUUUGAGCUACUUAUCCAUGCUUCAGGAUUCAAUAACAUGGCCUGUAGAAACUGAGUUAGCAGAACAAAUUUUGAUGGAUACGGAAGUUGAAGUUUCCUUCCUAAGACGAGAAGUACGGCAGGAAAAAGAAGAAAAACAAAACCUGUUGAUUGUGCUACAAGUACACUGAAUUUAACAAACUCAAAUUCAACUAGCAGAUUUGACCCAACUGUGAAUACAGGUCCAACAAGGAUUGCUGGUCUUCCGCAAAGUUCUGUUGGAAUGCUUCCAGCUUCAUCACCAACAACUUCCAUGGUCCCGUCAAUGAUUGUGAAAGUCAUGGGAGCUGUGGUUGAAAAUGCUAUCCAUAUGCUGGAAGAUGCAUCGUUAGUUCGCGCCCGACAAGGAGCAGACAUGUUGAUUAGCUUUCUUGUUUGUGGGCUUGUGAGGCAUUUUCGAAGCAUCAUGCAGAAGAGCUUAUCUCAUCCCGAGCUCUACAUUGGUGUUGGAUAUUGUUCAUGAUCAAACUUUGGAAUCAUGGUCUUCUUGAUGCCUGCACAAUGAACAACUGCAGUUCAAUAUUAGAGCGCUUCAAAAACAAGGGAUCAAAUACUGUCACAAAUUGAAGACAAACUGCCUCUACAAUAGACAUGAUAAUGAAAUCGGAUUUGGAAGAUCAUUCAAAUUCUUUUGAUUCAAAGUUUGGUGCUGGCUACAUUGAAUGUGUUUUCCAUCCAAGCAAUUUUGUUCAAGCUGAUGAACUGGAUUGCGAGGAACCAUCCUCUUCAAAGUUGACGCAGAAAACCGAGACUCUUAAGUCAGUAUCUCCUCCUAUGGAUGAUAAUAUUUCACACGAUUCAUUGGAAAAGAAAGUUGCAUCUUCUUCAUCUGGUGUUACUUGGGAUGAAAAGGAAGAGAUAUUGGAAUCCAAUAGUCAAGCUUGUGAGACGGAUAAAACUCCAGAGAGGCUUGUUGAAAAACAAAACUCGGAUCAGCAUGUUAAUGAGGCUGUUAGCGUAGCAAAUAUUAGUUACAAUGAUAUUCUAUUUAAUGAAGAAAGAAACCUGAAACCAGUCUUCAGAGAGAUUCAAACAGGUGAUAUCGAUAGUGAGCCUGAUAAUGAUAAUUUCAUGGAUGCUCUUAACUCAAUUGAAUCAGAAUCUGAAGUUAAUUUUGACUAUGAAACAAAAUGAGAGGUGCAGCGGGUUGCCUCACACGCUACAUGUGAAAUGGUUGGAAAUAGAGGGACUCAAACUCCUUCUAAUUUAUUUGACAACGAUAUUCCUGACUCGCUACAAGAAAAUCCUCCUCUCAUGUCCGAGUCACAUGCUUCUAAUUUGGGAUCAGCAACUAUGCCAAAUAUUCUUGAUCUUGAAAAGGUGACCAGAGACACUGUUUACUCAAACAACGAAGCAAUCAAUGAUUUGCCUGACUCGCCGCAAGAAAUUCCUCAUCUCACAUCAGAACCACGUGCAUCUGAUUUGGACUCCGCGAGUCCAUCAGAUGAUCCUUACAGCAAGGAAACAUUCGGGAAUUUUCCUGACACGCUACCAGAAAUUCCUCAUUUCAUAUCAGAGCCACAUGAAUCGAAUUUGGGAUGUGUGAGUCCAUCAGAUGUUUCUGCCAGAAAACAAAUAUCCAAGAGUGAAGCUUGUUCUCAUCCCUCUGCGAGUCCCAUCUUGGAAAGGGAUCCUCAUACAAGUGAUAAUUUUACUUUGGAUCACUUAGUAGGGACUCAUACCUCCAUUGAUUCUUCUACUGUUAAUGAUACAGUGUCAGCACCAAUUAGUACUGAUCCAUCAUUUUCUGGCUCAAAAUUAUCAGACUAAAAAACUGGUAAGGUCAAUAACAUCUUCAAAUAUGAAGACACACAUAAAGAGUCUUUCAGUGAUAAUUCGGUUAGGUUCUGGACUAAUGGUGGAUUAUUAGGACUCGAGCCAUCAAAACCUCCUGACUUUACCAUGUCAAGUUCCUUAAACCAAGGGUCUUUGAUUUCGAAUAAUGAGAUGAAUGGUGGUUCGCUUGGCAAUUCAAUGCAAAAAAGCAACGGUUCAACUUACAAAGAGGGAUAGGAAUCAUCAUAAAAGAUUACUCAACGGUUUCUAAAGGAAUCAAGUUCUAGAUAUGAUGAUCAGGCUUGUACAUCUGAAAAUACUUUCUCGGGUUCUCGGCAGAGUAAUGGUCACACUAAGAGGAACAUUUUGGCAGAACAUAAUGUAUCUGCAUCUAGAACGGUUCUCUCAGCAGCAGCUGACACAAAGGAUUAUGCUGAAACGGACCAGAGGAAUGGUGAAAACUCGUCACAGAUGUUUGGACUUGGCCAUAGAUUAUUAAUAAAAAGCUUUAACUACAAAGUUUCGUUUGACGAAAAAUCUGGACCUUAUGGUUCUUUGAAAUCUGUUAUAUUGGAACAGAGUGAACAAAAUGGCAUUGUAAGACAACCACAUCCUGAGACAACCUUCAAAGAGAAAGUUAGUUUCAGAUAUCCUAUAGAUUCACUCCCUCCUUCACCGCCACUCGAACAUAUGAAAAUAUCUUUCCAACCUCUCAGUGGACUUGAGACCUCCAAGCUAAAACUGCAAUUUCCCGAUGGAAGUAAUCAUCAUGAAAGAAUAACAGAUAUGUUUCCUUCAUUCCAAUUGGUACCAGAGUCUUCCAUUCCUAUGGACGAUUCAGGCUCUCACUCCGAUGGUGACGACACAUUCUGUAGAUCAUCUCCUUGUGCAUCCUAUGAUCGUCAUACCCCUCGCUCGGACUAUGACUCUGAUCAGUGGGAGUCCGAUGAAACUUCCGGAAGCAGCGGAUCUGGCGGCUUAGGCGUGCAAGGACAAAAUCGAUUGAUGAGUGGCGUGCUUCCUCAAGGAUCUCCUCAGUUCAGCCUUUGACCUCAAUGACUUCCCUCAACUAUCAAGUCGUCCUAGUUUUGCUGGAGGGCCACAAGGACAGUUGGGAUCUUUACGAAAAUAGGGUCUUAGUCCUAUUGUACAACAAAACCAAGAGUUUAACAUUCAAAAUGAAGACUUCCAAGCUUUACCAGGAUACAAAGGUGGUAAUGGAGAGUUUACUAUGGAUAUGCAUCAGAAAGAACAACUUCAUGACAAUGCUAUGUCAACGAUGCAGUCACAGCAUUUCUCCAUGGGGAGGUCUGCCGGUUUCAGCUUGGGAGGAUCUUAUUCAUCACAUCAUACUCAAUAGCAAUAGCAGCAUACUCCUUCUGCCAGUAACAGUGGUGUCUCUUUUUCACCUGUGAACAAUCAAGAUCUUCAUUUGCAUGGGUCGGACGUUUUUCCAUCUCCAAACUCUAUGUAUCAUUCACAGACCAACGGCCUCAUGGCAUUGGAUUAAGGCCACUAAAUUCUCCAAAUAAUGUUUCUGGCACGGGUUCAUAUGACCAGCUCAUCCAGCAGUAUCAACAGUACCAAAAUCAGUCCCAAUUUCGCCUUCAACAAAUGUCAGUUGUAAAUCAGACCUUUAGGAAUCAUGACCACAUAAGGUUGAUAUUGAAAUGAAGCCAUUGGCAGUUAUAUGAAUGCUCAACAUACUUUUGCAUUUGGUGCAGUUACACCUCCAAGUGCGAGGUAGAUAAUGCCCUUUGAAAGUCUUAACUUGCAUCCCUCGGAGGCCCCGAGAGUUUCGUUGCCUUUGAUCAAACGGAUUUUCCACCAUAGCAUGUGAAUAUUCGCAGUGGAGACAAACUCGUUAAAAACUCAACACAACACGAUAUCCUUCUGCAAUAACAAUGCAACAACACCGCCCAAAAUCAGUUUAAUUCCAAAAAAAGAAGACACGUAUUCUAAUUUAUUUGAGUCCUUGAAGCAAAUUCACAAAGGUAAUUUAAUUAUUACCAACAGUAAAUGGAUUUGGUUGAGAAGAAGAAGGGGACCACAAGCUGAAUAUGGACAAAAAUUUCCAAGCGUCCUCCGUACACUCCACUACACUGGAAAAAAAACACAGCAGAGAGAAAGGAUGAUGAGUCAUAUAUAAUAGGCGGUCACUAUUCAUAAAAGGGGGAGAGAGCCGAAAAACCCUAAUUUUGGAGAGGAGCCGCUACUGUUCACCAACAAAAAAAGAGGUCGACGGCAAGGAGAAAAGAAAACCAUAGUUUUUCUUGGUGGUGAAGAACGGAAAAAAAAAUCAAAGACCGGUUCAGACGAAACCUUACCUACAUCCGUCGGUCAAUCUCGCCGCAACCGGUUAGUUUCCUUUUCGAGUUUCUAUUUCCAUUUCUCCGUUUUAGCUUUCUUGAAGCUUCCAUUUGUUUGGUUAUCUUGCUGUAAAAUUUUGAUGUUCAAAUAGAAAGAAAAAUGAUCGCUGGAUUAAGAUGAAUAUGUUUACAAGAACCUGCUACUGUUUUAACUUUGUGUUUUAUUUAAAGUGUGUUUUUUAUGUUAUGUAUUAGCGCUUGAGACAACACGAUAAGGAUGCCUAUUAGGCAGAGUUGGUAAAAGGUAUGCUUUGGCAAGCUUUUGGUCUUGGGUUCAAUACCCAUGUGUGUCAUAUUUGAUUUUGCAGCAUUUUUAAUUUCUAUUUCACAUUUCUUUUUAAUCCCCUCAUUAUUCCUAAUGUUUACCCCUUUAUUUAUUUUAAUUGUUAAACAUCGAUUUUAAUUUAUGGAUUCAACAAUUUCCAUGUUGUUUAUCCAUGAUUAUUUUUAUCGAUACAUCGAUAGUAUUUCGCUGCGUUUUGACUAAUCACAUAUGACAUUUCAAUUAUUGUCAUUAUGUGCAAACCGGCUUUGAGCACAUUAUCUAGAUUUCUUGUUUGCUUUUCAAUUUCCACUUUCCUUGCACGUCAUUGCAUUAUGUGACUUUGAUUCGCAUCCUCGCAUCCCGAUUUUUAUCCGUGCACGUCCUGAUGUUGUUUCUUUCAAUUUAAUUUUUGAGUGUUUUGUAAAUAUAACUUGUUGUGUUAUUUAUUUUCUUCACAUGGCUUACUCUUGGACCUUCUUACAAUGAGACAAUUCCCUUGCACCUACACUCAUGCAUUGUUUAUUCAUUGAUUGGUCCGAUUUGAUUAUUUCAUUACUUUGAAUCCCCAUUUGACAAAAUGUACCCCACUCCCCCGAUGUGGAAUAAUUUUACUGCUUUUCAUUUCUUUAUUUGUUUGACUGUUUAGUUAGCUACUAACACAAGAAUAAAAUAAACCAUUUCCAAAAGAUCAAAAAUAAGACUCGAUCCAACGUCGAGUAUUUUCUCAAUAAACAAAUCAAUCCAUUUCUCAAUACCCGUGUGUGCCAUAUUUGAUUUUGCAGCAUUUUUAAUUUCUAUUUCACAUUUCUUUUUAAUCCCCUCAUUAUUCCUAAUGUUUACCCCUUUAUUUAUUUUAAUUGUUAAACAUCGAUUUUAAUUUAUGGAUUCAACAAUUCCCAUGUUGUUUAUCCAUGAUUAUUUUUAUCGAUACAUCGAUAGUAUUUCGCUGCGUUUUGACUAAUCACAUAUGACAUUUCAAUUAUUGUCAUUAUGUGCAAACCGGCUUUGAGCACAUUAUCUAGAUUUCUUGUUUGCUUUUCAAUUUCCACUUUCCUUGCACGUCAUUGCAUUAUGUGACUUUGAUUCGCAUCCUCGCAUCCCGAUUUUUAUCCGUGCACGUCCUGAUGUUGUUUCUUUCAAUUUAAUUUUUGAGUGUUUUGUAAAUAUAACUUGUUGUGUUAUUUAUUUUCUUCACAUGGCUUACUCUUGGACCUUCUUACAAUGAGACAAUUCCCUUGCACCUACACUCAUGCAUUGUUUAUUCAUUGAUUGGUCCGAUUUGAUUAUUUCAUUACUUUGAAUCCCCAUUUGACAAAAUGUACCCCACUCCCCCGAUGUGGAAUAAUUUUACUGCUUUUCAUUUCUUUAUUUGUUUGACUGUUUAGUUAGCUACUAACACAAGAAUAAAAUAAACCAUUUCCAAAAGAUCAAAAAUAAGACUCGAUCCAACGUCGAGUAUUUUCUCAAUAAACAAAUCAAUCCAUUUCUCCCUUCCAUUCCAUUCCAUUUCUUUCAAACCGUCAUCAAAUGCUUGAUCCAACGUUAAGCCAUUUUUCAUAAUCAAAAAUCAAAAAACUUAAUUCAUAUUUAAAGACCUUUUCAAUAAAGAUGGAAAUGGAACGUGGUGGAUACCACGCACUCUUGAGACUAGGGUUCGAGAUGGAUGUCUCGCCUAUCCUAGCUCUCGCCAUCAUCCAAAUUUAUCUAUUUUGUUUCUCUCAAACCUUCAUUCAAACCUUUCUCAAUCGCUCAUCAAACACUUGAUCCAACAUCGAACCAUUUUCAUAAUAAAACCCAAAAUACUUAAUUCCUAUCUAAACACUUUUCAAAUAGAGAUGGAAAUGGAACAUGGUGGAUAUUGUGCACUCCUGAGAUUAAGAUUCGAGGUGGAUGCCUCGCCUAUCUUAGCUCUCGCCGUCAUUUAAAAUUGUCAAUGCAGUUUUCUUCAAAUCCUUUUUUUUUAUCAAAUUCAAAACACUUAAUCCUUAUUAAACACUUUUGCAAAUAAGAUGGAAGUGGAACAUGGUGGAUACCACGCACUCCUGAGACUAGGAUUCGAGAUGGAUAUCUCGCUCAUCCAAGUUCUCGCCAUUAUUCAAAACGCAUUAAACCAAUCAAUUUCUUUUUCUCGCCGCCGUGCGAUUGAUCCUUCAAACCCUUUCUCAAACGAAAGGUACUUUGUUUCAAAACAAUGCAAGGAAAUGUUUCUCCACCUGUUUUGGGUAGUCUAACAAUAUUUUCGUCGAUUUGAUACAAAGUAGCUUUCGCUAAAAUCGACCAACAGACAAACAUUUUUCUACCCAGAACCACGUAAGCCUUGAUUUCUCUAUUGAGAUACGUAGGAGCAGGAUUUGUAAAUCUUGUCAGGCCCACUAAUAAAAAACUUAGGUUUAGUCCUUCGUCAAAAAUCCAAAAAUAUUCUUCUCUCAUCCUUUCUUUCUUUCCCACUUAAUAACUUAAAGCCUAACAUUUCAAACUAACACUAAUGCGCAUAACUAACCUAAUGGUUCCCGUUGAGUACAACGGACGUGAGGGGUGUUAAUACCUUCCCCUUGCGUAAUCGACUCCCGAACCCUGAUUUGGUUGCGACGACCAAUAUCAUUGUCGUUCUUUCUUGGGUUUUAUCGAUAUUUCCUCUUUCCUAUUUAGGAAUAAAUAAAGUUCGGUGGGGACUCUGUUCAGUCCAUCAUUGCGAGCGUGCGAUUGCGCUUCGCUAGGUCGUGCUCUCAUUUUUCUUGAGGUACGACACAUUGUCACUUCAAGAUCAAGCUGCAAUCAAGGAUUGGAUUGGAUUUUGCUCAUAAAAGCUGCACUCCAAAGGUUUAAUCCUCAAUUGUUUUGAUUCGAAUCUCUCUGAUUAUUGUGCAUUGCUUGUGUUGGUUUGCAUUUCUGAAGUCCUCAUAUGAGAGGCAAGCCAAUGAUGGCUUUAAUUUUGUGAAUUGGUUAACUUCAUAUUGAACACCUUGUUUUUCAACCUCAGAUUUCUUCUUCCAUAAGAAUCUUGAGCAAAAACUAAGGUCACAGGGGUGAUGUACAUCACCCCAGCUUUCAUUUGGUGUAUAGAUCGCGUGUUAUAGUUGAGGUUGUAAAACCUGCAACUGGUGGCCGGACUGAGCCUUCUCACUGGAGAAGACAGUGGUUUCCACCACCGUCCCCACGCGUCCAAGCCAUGGUCGUUGGAUGAUGAGUCUCAGAUCUAAUCCUGGCCUUGGAAUGUUAUGACUUAAUUUAAUGUUGUGUGCCACACCGUUGACUAAUGCUCACCAUACACGCGUGCUUCCUAGCCAUGUGAUCAGCCACGUCAAUUAAUGAGGUUGGAUUCGACGCUUGUGGAUUUUUCUGUUUUUAUUAAUUUCCGUUUUAUUUUCUUUUAUUCCAUUUAUUUUCAAAAAUUCAUAACUUCUUUAUUUGGAAUCACAAAAAUAUGGGACCAAUUGCAAAAAUUUUCUCUUAAAUUCUAGUUUCAUAAAAUGAUUUUUAAUUAUUUUUUGUGAUUCCAUUUAAUAUUUUUUGUGAAUUAUUUCAUUUCUGAUUGUUUUUAAUUCAUUUAAAAUACCAUUUGAUAUUCAAAAAUGCCAAAAAUAUUUUCUUAACAUCUUUGGAUGAUGAUGAAUCUAUGAAAAAUAUUCUCAUCAAUUUCUUAAUUUAUUUGAGAUUUAUUUGAGAUUUUAGUCCAAUUAUGUUAUUUUUCUCCAUUUUUAAUUGUUUAAAAAGAGUUUCUGUUUUCAAAAAAUGUUGAGAAAAUUUGUCAAACCUUGUUUGACCAUGUUAGACUUAUGAUGAUACAAUUGGACUUAUCCAAGUUGAUUUGAAUUGGAUUUGAAGUUUGACCUUUAUUUGUUCAUUUUAUUUUAUGUAUUAUUUUAAUUCCAAAAAAUAUCAAAAAUAUGUUUGACCUUUCUUGACUUCUAAUCUUCAUUUCACUUCUGUUUACCAUUGAUUGAUGUUGAUUCUAUUCAUGAUUGAUCAAUGUGUUCUGGUUAUGUCAUUUGAAUUUCCAUUUUGUAUAUUCCAUUUCCAUCUUCAUCUUUUUCUUUUUCUUUUGACCAAUGAUUAAUGAUUUGUGGUUAGCCUUGACAUAUAAGAGGCUUAACCUUCUUUGAUCCAAAUCAAAUUCAUCUUGAUCAAAGAUCAAGUCAAUUGCUUUGUGUCCAAGAUAGGUUGCUUCUUGGUCAAGCAAAAAAUCUAAAAUCCAUACAAGGUCAUUUUUCUUUUCUUUUGGCAUGACAAGUUGUAGGAGCUUGGCUUACUAGUCAUGGUCUCUAACUUGUGUUUAUUUGCCUAUAGUUUUAUUGGCCGACCUCAGAUAGGUGUGACUACUACAUUAGUCCACUUACGAUUGCUUAACAUAGCGCUAAAUUGCCUUAUGGCACACUAAUACUAACUACUAACUACUAACUUUUAAUUCAAGCAUUUAAUUCUUGCAAUUUACUUUAAUGCAAUUUAAUUUCUUGUUCAUUUAUUCAUAUUGUCUUUGCCCUUUGCUCACUUGAGCUCAUGUUUAUGUUUAUGCCAUUUGCCUUUUGCUCACUUGAGCACAUUGUUGUGUAAAUAUACUAUUGCCUUGUGCUUGUUUUGUUUUUGUUUGUGUGAACCCAAUGCAAAAAGGAUAAAGGACUUAGAAUUAGGACCUUACCUAUGCUUAAUGGAGUUUCAAGAGCAACUAGGCCUCAUGCCAUUAGAAUGCUAAAAUUGUUGAAGAGCAACUAGGCCUCAUGCCUUUAGAAUGCUUACCUCUUGAUGUUGAAUUGAAAGGACCCCUAUUCUAAACUAUCUCUUUGUCCAUUUCUUUCUAUUGCAUUGUGGAACUUUUUGAUUUGUUUGUUCUUGUGUGAUAGGGAUUCCAAACUUGAGCUAGUUAGAAGGACCAUUGUCAUGGACAUCCAAGUUAAGAGGAAGACAAGUCCAAAUGGGAGGAUCCUAGGAGCUUGAUUGAAUAUUUGAUUGAUUGCUUGAGUUAAUUGCUUAUUUGCUUGCUAAGUCCAAAGGAAAGGAGAAACUUGGAUCAUCUUUAUGAUCUCAAGAAAGGAACUCCAAGGGUUUUAUUUCUCUUCCCUCAUCUUUGCAUGUUUAGGACCUAGCCCUUCUCUUCUUCUCUCCACUCUAACCCAAGCCAAACUCAUUUUGUGCAAACAUUAACAUUGUUUUUUUUUUUUCAAAAUUUGAAACCUAGGCAUUAUGCCUUUGAUUUUUCACACUCUUUUCAUAAUACUUAUUUUGAAUUGAAUCUUAAGUCAACUUUGACUUUCUUUUGUGAAUACUUCUAAUUUGUAAAAACAACUCACUCAAAUUGUUUUGUGGUUCCAAUGACCAUCUUUCCCAAAGCUUUUCAUAAACACUAGCUGUUAGGUUUGAGUUAUCAUAGUGGUUGAUGUAAACCUCACCUUAUCCUUAGUGAUUGGACUAUAAGUCUUCCAUACUUAUUAUAGGGUGGAUCCCUCACUAGUAUGUUGAAGCUCUCCUCACAAAACCUCACCUUAUCCUUAGUGAUUGGACUAUAAGUCUUCCAUACUUAUUAUAGGGUGGAUCCCUCACUAGUAUGUUGAAGCUCUCCUCACAUGGUGGAUUGUGGUUUAUGUUGAGUUUUCUCCCUUUGAUAACAAAAUACCUUAAGGCUUUUGUCAAACGAAUUCACCAACUUAUUUUGAGAUUUUUACCCCGAACUACGAGGUUUUGAUCCUACCUUUUGUGAUGGUACGUAGGCAAUGGGUUUAUCCAUUCAAACACAAAAUUGUAAAUAAUUUGUAUAUUCUUUUCUCAUCUCCCCAAUCAUGUUUGCACAAAUAUUUUCACAAAUACCAACCUACCGUACAACAUUUACAAAAAGGGCUCCCUUAGAGUACUAAGGAUGUUUUGGGUGCUUAAAACCUUCCCAUUGCAUAACCAACCCCUUACCCAAAUCUCUGACAUUUUUAUUAGUUUUUGAUUUGAUAAAACUUCUCGGUUUUUGUUCGCUUUCUAACCUUUCCUUUGGAUAAAUAGAAGUGAGGUGGCGACUCGAAUUGUAUGAUUUAAUUUUAUUAGUUUUUGAUUUGAUAAAACUUCUCGGUUUUUGUUCGCUUUCUAACCUUUCCUUUGGAUAAAUAGAAGUGAGGUGGCGACUCGAAUUGUAUGAUUUACUUUUGAUUUAGUCAAUAAAUCUUAAGGUAACGAAUACCCCGCUACAGCGGUAAAUAACAAAGAAGUACAUUACGCCCUCCUCCAAUACACAAAAACAACUAAGGCUUGUCUACUUGUGUAUUUGCACCACGAACGUAAAGAACAACAUGGACAACAAAUAGGGGGUGAGAAUACAUUCAUCAAUGUUAAUGGUUCAUAAAAUAACAAGGAUAGUUCAUUAAUAUCAAUCAUCGAUCACAUAUGUUAUUUACAACAAUAAUCAAUCACAAAUGCGGUUAUGUAUGCAAUAUAUUUAUCUCCUUUACUCCAAUGUAUAUGGUAUUAAGGUUUUAGAUAUCAGAGAUAUGUUAUUGAUUAAUCCACUUUCAUCUUUGAAUUUUGUUCUAUCUUUGAACCAUUAGAAUCUCUAUUGCUUCCUCUCUAAACCUGUUUCCAUCCCUGAACAAACAGACUCAUCACAUGUUCCUCUCUGAACCUGAGACUCGUCACUGGACCGAAGUCCGUCACCUAUCUCUGAUAUACAUGAUGCAUGAAUGCAACAAAACAAAUGCAAUACUCGUCUCAAACCUCCAACUCCAAUACUCAUAAUUGAUUCGUCUCUGAACCUAAAACUCAACAUGAACAUAGCCAAUACAAGGUCACAACAAUUGUUCCUCUCUGAACCAAACAUCUCAACAUAACUCAAUAAUUUUUAUUAUAACUCAGCAUAAUAAUUAAAUCAUAUAAUUUCUUGAUAAUUCUCAUCAACAACAUCAAACAACCAUCAAUAUUCAACAAGGCAUACUCAUAACACAACAAAGCUUGCAAUUAACUCUAACAACUUUUACUCAUACGUUAAGAAUCACCAGAAAUAUUCUAACCUUAACUCAAUUACACUUCAACUCAACUCUGAACAUAUCAGAUGAAUCAAACUCAACUAAUUUAACUCAACACAACUCUAAGCAUAUGCUUAUAUUGUUUCAAACAAAUAUAUCAUCAAAAUAUUGGGCUUGUGUCAUAAAACAUUAACAACUUAAUUCACAUAACAUCUUAUCAAAACAGCUCGAGAUUCAUGUUUCCUGCUAGUCAUACAUCAGAUUUGAAUCAUUAUUUAAAAUAUCAAAUGGAGUCAGAGUCAUGUAAAAUAAUAUGUUUUCCAAAUCUUAGAGAGUCUAUUUUAGGACUAAUAUUUUUAUUUUAAUACUUAAGAUAUCAAUCAGAACAUUUUAAUCAAAUAGUAGGAACUGGUGCAGACACCAGGAAAAAUGUUUGCUACUAGUCAUACCUCAAGUUCGAAUAAUUACUUAAAAUAUAAAACGGAGUCGAAACUAAGUAAAUAAAUAUGUUUUGGAAUUAUUAGGGUGUAUAUUAUCAAACUAUAACUUUUAUUUUUGGAAUUAAGGUCUUAACUGGUAUAGUUUUAGUGAACAAUGGAUAAUGGUACCAACACCGGACAUAAAGUUUCGUCAGACUUGUAACUAAUGUUUCUCCUACUAAACUUAAUAAAAUGAGAUACUUAUUAAGUAUAAUAUGUAUUAAGUUAUAUCUAUUUUCUUAUGAUAUAAAGUUUACUCUUAAAGGACUUAAAAAAAUCAAGUUAUGCGUGAAACAAGACAACCAACGCAAGACUGAAAUUUUGAUUACGCUUUUGGUAUAAAAACUAGAUAACUGCAACUAUUGCAGCGCUUCUAGACCAAAUUUCCCCAUUUCAAAAUAAAUAUUAUCUCAUUAUCUUUGUAACAUGACUGACCGCACCACAAACGAACUUACAAAACUCAAGUUAUGCAUGAAAGAAAAAGGUCAAUCCCCUUCUAUGUCUACCUGGAAUUUUUUAUGUUUUUCUCUUACCAUAAAAGUUUCAGAAACUCGCAUAUUUCACAUAUUUGAGUCCCAACCACCUUAAUGCACAUAGAUAACACAUCAACAAUGAACAAUAUGAAUCAAACAUCACAAAUUCAACAUUUAUAUCACUGUCUUAUCAUAAAACAAACAUAUUUUAUCAAUUCAACAUAUAUGCUCAUGAAUAUCAAAACUGAAGAAUAGGCAUACAAUUUCAUACGAAAAUCAAUCACCAAUACAACAUGAAUUUCAUCGUAUAUUAUAGUUAAUAAGAGAGAUUUUACACAAAUCAUCUCAAGAUUCAACAAUUUCAUCAAUGGAAGAAAAAUUAAAAGAAAAGGGAAAGAGGAUAAGGAAUCAUCUCUAUCCUUUUAUUCCCUAAACAUCCAUAUCAUGAACAAUUCUUAUCUUACUUCAAAUUUGUAGCAAAAGUUGAAACUUUUGACAAUGGAAGCUCUCUUCUCCUACCUCUUGCUCUGUUAUGGCUCUCUUUGACUCUGUUGACAACUAUUUCUCACAACAACAACUCCAACUACAAUUCUCUUAUCUAUUUAAAUAAAACCCUACUAAUUUUAUUAAUAUACUAACUCCCCUCAAUUCUCACUAAAUCCACCAUUUUCCUUAAUUUUAAUUAAAAUUCUACUUUCCUCCCCAAAACUCGAUUUCUCAUUAUUUUUAUUAUUUAAAUAAUUAAAAAUUAGUGAUAAUCGUAAUAAAAUUCUACCCAACCUCAAUAAUACUAAUAAAAUAAAUAUGAACACAAAUAAAACAUUAUAAAUCAUUUUAAACUCAAUUAAAAUACGAUAAAUGAAAAACCGAGGUGUUACAACUCUUCCCACUUAUAGAAUCAUCGCCCAAAAAGUUUUUAUGAUAAAACAAAUCUGGAUAAGACUCCUUCAUUCGGUUCUCUAACUCCCACGUCACGCUACCUUUAUUGAUGAUUGCAACUAAAUAGAUACCAAUUAUGAGACACGUACCUUGACUCAAUUAUCAGGUCUUGAGGUCUCCUCACCACUCAGAGCAAAAACCUUCCAACUAGACCAUGCGGCCUCUGGCGCUUUCCUCGACUUUUGAGAUUGGAUAUUGAUAUGACAUGAUUCUCUACAAUUGAAACAAAUAAAAACUGCACUCUUGCAAUUAGCGGCACAAUGUCCCUUCUUCUCACACUUAAAACAUGUAUGGCCCGUGCUCUUGCCCUCAUCAACAUGAUAACCUAACUCUCCACACUUGAAACAUAUCAAAGAAGCAGAAAUCCCAUCCCCAUUUGUUCCACUCCCACCUACAGCCUUCUGCUGGAACUUCUGAUUUCCUUUAGCAACCAGAGUCACAUUAGGCUUACCACGAUUCUGACUCUCACUCUUCUUCUCACUCACGCUCUUGUAGUGAGCAGAUCUGGCUCUACUAUCCUCAUCAUAAAUUUUUCAUUUGUUCACCAACAUCGAGAAAUUUACGAAUAUUUUGAUAUCCUAUGAACGACUUGAUCUCAAGACGUAAGCCACUCUCAAACAUCACACACUUAGAGACCUCAUCUUCCACACCAUUAUAGUCAGGACACAAUAUUGACAGCUCCUCAAACUUAUCUUCAUAGUCAGCCACAGUCUUAUUCCCUUACUUCAGUUCCAAGAACUCUAUCUUUAUGCAUCUACAAACAUCAACUGGAAAAUACUUGUCCAGAAACUCAUUCUUGAAAUUAGCCCAAGUAAUUUUCACAUUAGCAGCUUCCAUCCUCUGACGGUUAUUCCCCCAUCAAUACUCUGCUUCCUCAGACACCAUAUGUGUUUCUAACAACACCUUUUACGCACCAGUGCACAUCAUAACUCUGAGAAUCUUCUCAAUCUCCCGAAGUUAAGUAUGGGCACCUUUGGGAUCGUACCAUCCCUUGAAUGUAUGAGAAUUUUUUCUCUGAAACUUUCCCAGCCCACAUAAUUAAUCAGCUCCACCAUUCUGAUUUUGACUCUCUUUCAAAGCUUUGUUCGAUUGCGCCAUCAUCUAGAGAGAAUCCGCAAUCGCUUGAUCAUUUUUACUUCUAGCCAUUUCUUUCUGCACAACCAACUAAGACAAGUUAACUAAUCGUAAACAGUUGGAAUCAACUCCGCUUGUCACAAAGAACUGUCAAAAUCUAAAUUUUUUUAACUUAUGAAGUUGUUAUCUUCAAAAUGCUUCAUCAGUUGUCAUCAUCAAAAUCAACUCUGAUAGGACAACGAAGGAGGUCCAAUAGGACAUCAAUAUAAAUUUUUAGGUACGACAACAAAGGUGACUUGGGCAGUUGGUAACGAUUCGUAGGUGUCUAACCGAAUCAGUUUGUUUCUUGGAUUGGUUUGUGAUGGGCCGUGUUUUGGGUUUGAGUUGGAACUUUAGGGUUUCAACUAUAGUUAAUAUGGUUCUUUAUUACUUGCCGUUACGAGCUGUAUAAGACAUAGCAAGCCUAGUGAAAAUCAAUGGUAUAAAUUUAUUGGAUUAUACUUUUGGAGUUCAACACCCUUAGAAUUAUCAAUGAGGUUUAUGAAACUCUUUAAACACCUCGAGGUUGUGUUAUUGAUAUAUUAAGAGUUAGAGAGAUUGAAAAACACUCGAGUAGAAAAAAGAUUUGUCCAUAAAAACUUUGAAGACUAUUUUCUUAUAAAUCAUGUAAUUUCAUAAAAUAAUAUUGAAGUACAGUGGAUCAAGUGGAUCAAGAGAGUUGUGCUCUUUCCCUAAAAUAGAUCAAAUUAAUUGAUAUAGUUUAUCAAUUUCUUUGUAUUCUCACUUUUUAUAUUUUUAUUCAUUGAAGUCAUUUGGUUGUUUGUCAAAUAUUCUUUGUCGGUGUUAGAUUUUUCAUAACAAUAAACAUAGUGAAGUAUGUUCCCUGAUGCUUUAUAUAUGAUCCUUGAUUUCUUAACCUUCUAAAGGGAGUUCAAAUAAAUCCUUUUCUAAACUGAAAACAUAACAAUUGAUGUUGAUUUUCAAAACCCUUGUUCAUAUAACACAUACUUUUCCUUCUCUAAAUAAGAAUUGAAAGGCAGAAGAAUAAAAUUUCUAUACUGAUAAGGUUUCCCUUCCACUUUUGUUAGAAUUUGUAAAAUCGAGAUAUUCCUUAUUCUAUUUAAUAUAUUAAUUUACGUCUAAAAAAAUAUUAAUACAAACCCAUUUCAUAUAAAAAAGUAUAUAAUAUGGUCGCACAAACUCUAAUCUAUUUUAAUAUAGAUGUGAAUUAUAUAAUUUAUGUGAAAGCUGAAACCGUGGAAUUAUGAAAUUUUAUACCCAUUCUGUGAGAUUCAUAUUAUAUAUAUAUAUAUAUAUAUAUAUAGUUUUUAUACCCAAUGCUUGUGAGAUUCAUAUUAUAUAUAUAUAUAUAUAUAUAUAUAUAUAUAUAUAUAUAUAUAUAUAUAUAUAUAUAUAUAUAUAUAUAUAUGUUCAAAUAUUUAAAAGAUAUAAGAAAUUGAAGUUAGCUUUAUUUUAAUAGUGAAUUUUUUUAUAAGAUUUUUUUUCUAUCUUAAUGAUUAAACCGUGAGAUCUUAUGUUAUUGAUUGUCAUGCACACCUUCAAAGACGAUUAUAUUAUAUAUAUAUAUAUAUAUAUAUAUAUAUAUAUAUAAAUAUAUAUAUAUAUAUAUAUAUAUAAUAUAUAUAUAUAUUUCUAUAAAACAUUUAUCUUUUGUAUAACUAUGUCGAUUGUACAUAUUAUUAAUAUUUAAUAAAACCCUCUUCUAUCAUCAUAAGGUUGAAAAUAUUAAUCAUAAAAGUGAUUAUAUUAGCAGCUAUUAACCUUAAUAGGUAAAUAUUUAAUUGUUUUUGACACUUCAUGAACUUUAAAACAUUAUAAAGGAGUAACAAAAUUUAUUUGUUGCAUGCAAAGGGAUACAAAUAUGACUGAAACUUUCAAUUUAUAUAUGUUAUCAUUUUAUUUCUUACCUUAUUUCUUGUUGCAAAGACUGUUGAUGGUAAUUAAAAUUUCCAUAUCUCUUUAUAUAUUUUUUAUAGAUAUAUUAUAUAUAUAUAAUAUGUUAUCUCAUUUGAAUAAUAUUCUUAUUUUUCUAUUUCUUUAUGCAGAGUUUUUUACUGUGAAAAAGAUUUUGCUUGUCACCCAAUUUUGUUCUCAAGCACAUGUGCAUGAACAACAGAUGUGUAUAUGAUCAUAUGGAGAAUAAAUAAAUUAAGUAUCAGAUCCAAUAAAGUACACUUACACUGUUCAAGUAAGAAUGAUUUCUUAGACAAGCAAAAUAAAUCUACUUAAUACACUUUACUGUUUCAAACUUGCCAUUUAGUUAUUGGAAUGGCACCAAAUAAGUGUUUCUUUAAAUUUUAUUUCAGAGUUUUUAUUAUGGCAAUGUACUCUAAAUGUUUGUAAUAAAAUUAAAUAAGACAAAAGAAAUAUAAUGGAGUUCUAUCAAAGUUCUAUAUCAACGACUCCAAUUUAUUAAGUGCCAAUCUCCUCGAUGAUUUUGAUUCAAUAUCAUUUCUAAGUCAAAAUGAUGUUCAUAUUUCAUGUCAUUUGCACUCACCAAUUUAUCUGAGAAUAUUAUAUCAUUUGAAGCUAGUGAAAAUAUGUCUGAGCGCAUUGCACACUCGAAGAUACAAAAGAGUCGUCAUCAAACUUUAUUAUUCUCAAAAAAAAGGAAAAAUAUCGAUAAAAUCCAAGAGAAAGAGAAACGCAUAAGAAAGUCGGUUAUACAAGGGAAAACACUAGCACCCCUCACGUCUGUUGUACUCAACGGGAAGUAUUUACUUGUUUUUUGCUUGAAUGAGUGUUAUAUCUAAAGAUACUUGGGAAAGGGAAAAAAGGAGUUUAAUAAUUAGGGUGCUCGUUGAGGAUUGAGACCCUCGUGGCAACGUAUCCUCAUAGUUCAAUGAGGAAUCAGAUUUCCGUAGUUCAUGAACUAAGGAUGGAGAUGAAAUGAGAAAAAAAUGAAUGUGUCAGGGUAUACAACCCUAUAAGGCAGAAAAGGGAAUUGCCAAGGUAUAUAACCUGAUAAGACCGAAAAAUAAUUAAUGUGCUCGCGGAGGAUGCAAAUCCUCGUGCAUACGUAUCCUCAUAGUGCAAUGAGGAAAUCAGAGCUCGUAGUUUAGAGAACUAGGGCUGAAAAAAGAUAUGAUUGGGGUGGUGUUAAACCAAACAAAUGGGUAAUAGCGGUUUUUACCAAAAGGAAAAAAAUAUAUGGUGUUUAAAUCAGCAGGGAUAAAAGGUGCGAUGUUUAAACCAAAAGGGAUAAAAGUGGUGUUUAACCCGGGAAAGUGUGUUUAAACCAAGGCAAUUGAUAGUGGUGUUUAAUCAAAAAGGAAAGAAAGUGGUGUUUAAACUGAAGGAGUGAUGUUUAAAUCAAAAAGGAAUAAUACUGGUGUUUAAACCGAAGGAGUGGUGUUUAAACAAAGGGGUGGUGUUUAAACGAAAAAGUCGUGUUUAAACCAAAGGGUCGGUGUUUAAACCAGAAAAGUGGUGUUUAAACCAAAGGGUCGGUGUUUAAACCGAAAAGUGUGUUUAAACCAAAGGUUGAUUGAACCGAAAUGUGUGUUUAAACUGGAAAAGUGGUGUUUAAACCAAAAGAUCGAUGUUUAAACCGAAAAAGUGGUGUUUAAAUCAAAAGGUCGUGUUUAAACCAAAAAAGUAGUGUUUAAAUCAAAUGGUCGGUGAUUAAACUGGAAACGUGGUGUUUAAACCAAAUGUCGAUGUUUAACCGGAAAAGCGGUGUUUAAACCAAAGGGUUGGGUUUAAACCGGAAAGCGUGUUUAAACAAAUGAUUGGUGUUAAACUGGUACAUGGUGAUUAACCAAAAGAUGGUGUUUUAACCGGUACACAAUGAUUAAGCAAGGAAUGGGUAUUUUAACCAAAAGGUUAUUAACCAAGGAAUGAGUUUUUUAACCAAAAAGAGAUUAAUCCAAGAACAAUGUUGAGGAUUGUGUUUGAUCCAAGCAAAAUAUUAUGAUGUUAACUGUUGGAGUGUCUGAGAUGUUGUCUGUUUGAAUGUAGGAAGAAGACCUUGUCAAUUGUUUGAUUCAAAUUGCACUAAAGUCUAUGAGUGGAUAUGAAUACCUCAACGAGCGGGUCAAGCGUCUCGUGUUCAAACUAUUCAGAAUGAAGGUAGGAAUGUCCAUUAUCAUUCCUUCUCCACUACUUAAGGCCCGUGGCAUGCCAUUAUAAUCAUGACUGAAAAGUUGUUGAAAUAGGAUGUCUUUGAUGCUCCUUGAUGAUGAAUGUCACAUCUCGAAAAAUGCGAUCCUUGCAAGAUGCUCGCACGCUCGCGGAAAAGAUGUUCAAACAGAGUCACCAUCGAACUUUAUUUAUUCCAAUGAAGGAAAGGGAAAUAUCGAUAAAACCACGAAAAGAAAAGAAAAUAGUGUCGCAAUCAAAUUUGGGUUCGAGAGUUGGUUAUGCAAGGGAAGAUAUUAGCACCCCUCACAUCCGUUGUAUUCAACGGAACCACUUAGUUAGAUUACGAUAAAGUGUUAUCUAAUGUUGAUUGUGAUCUUCUAUUUAUUGAGCGAGAAAAGAAGGAAAAAAAGAAAGACUUAAGUUUUUUUAAUAUUAAUGUGCCUGACAAGAUUUCGUAAUCCUGCUCCUACGUAUCUUUAGGUGUAUGAAAACUCAAGGCAUAUGUAUUCUACCCAAGAAGAACUACUGGGUGGAUUGCUUUUAAAGAGAGUGAUGCCUGGAUCACAUUUGAGCGAAAAAUGUUUACUUGUUGCUUGCUCUUGGAUGCUGAAAUCUUUGUUUGUUUCGCAUCAAAAUGGAGUGACAUACUCUUUUCUGAAAAUAUUUUCGGGUCGCACAAGGGCGGAAAACAAAUUUGAUUGGUUGAGUGUUUUGUUAGACGAUGAUUACUCGAAUGACCGAGUAAGGCUACUCGUAUCCAAGUAAUCGAGAAGAAGAAUAGAAGGCUCUAGACCAUCUCCCUUUUCAUCCUUAAUUGUGAAAAGAUUUAAAUAAGUUUAAUGUAUUUUUGAUGGAUGGCAAAUACUCGAAUAUCCGAGUAAGGCUACUCGUAUCCAAGUACUCGGGAAGGAAGGGAAGGCUCCAGAACACCUCCUUUUUAGUCCAAGUUUGUUACGAAAAUAAGUUUGACUUAAGUUUGAUUAUGAAAAUAAUUUGGAUGUGGCGGGGCUGGAAAGUUUUUUUAAUAGAUGACAAUUGCUUGAAUGCCGAGUAAGGCUACUCUAUCCAAGUAAUUGAGGAGAGAAAAUGAAGGCCCGAGACCAUCUCCCUUUUCACCAUUUUCAAAAUAAUGUUUAAGUAUGAUUAAUUAUUUUGGAUUUGAUUAGGAAAAAGACACCGAUGUUGGAUCGAGUUUUUAUAUUUGCGGUUGAUCGAAACAGAUGGAAUGAUUUGAGGAUUUUUAAAAUAUCGAAGAUGGAUAUAGAAAUAUUUCUAUUUUUAUGAAAAUUACUCGACUUUGGAUUGAGUUUUUUUUGUUAUUUUCAAAAAAAUGGUUGAUUUUAACUUGUAAUUAACAAUCAACUGAUACAGUAAUGAAAGCGGUGAAUUUAUUACAUAUUCACGGGAUGAGGGUGCAGUUCAUCGAAUGGGGACACAACACAAUAAUUAAAUGAAAUAAGCUUUGAAAGACAAUUGUAAAUAAAAGAGUCUCGUUGUAAGAAGGCCCAAGAGAAAGCCAAGAGACUCGAAGUAAAAAUAAAAAAUUAAACUAAAAAAGAAUUUAACGCUAUAUUAAAAUCAUAAAGCGAUUCAGAUAGGAAUCAUUCUAUUUGAGACCAGUCAACAAGACUUUAUGCGCUUAAGCAAUUUCUGAAUUUAAAUUUAAUUUUUAACUCUGAAAUUGUAAAGCAUGUGUGAAAAACCGACGGGAGAAAAAAAAUUAAACUUUUCUUUAACAAAUUAAAAUAAAUAAUUAAUCAAUGAAUAAUAACAAUAAUACUAAACAAAUAAUAAUUAUUAUAAUUAUAGUAAUAAUGAUAAAAAUAAUAAUUUAUAUUACUAUUAUUUAUUACAAUAAUCAAAUAACAAUAAUUAUUAUAAUGACAAUAAUAAUAAUCAAUAGAUAGAAAACCAUGUUGACCCUUCUAACCUAAGCCAAAAGAAUAUACUUUCCAUAGUUCAUUUUCAUUGAUGGCUAGAGAUAAAGAAAAAAUUGAUAUUAGAUCAACAAAAUGACACACAUUUAUAUCAUUUCUAAAUGAAAUAUUCAUCAAACAAUAACCAUUAUCGUGUGUCAUGAAAAAUAUAUUAUUUAAAAGCAAUACACCAUGAAUAUAACAUCUCACGUUUUUAUUUCUUCAGUAAAAACCUUAAGAUGAACUUUUUUUUUAUAAUACAUAAACUAUAGUCUAUUUAGACUAAAAGGAGAAAUCGUCGUACUUAAAAUAGAAUACUGAUAAAUAUAUUAUUUAUGUGAUUGUAUUUGUGAGUAGCAAAUGUUAUUAAACUCUCCAUAUUAUUAUUAUUGCUUCAUAAAAAAAGAUAAACUGAAAUUAAACAUAAAAGAAAGACAUAAUAUUGAAACAAACUUUGAUAAAAAACAAAGGUGAAAUAAAUUGAGAUGAUGCAAGCCCAAUAAUCAGAGAAAACACCAAAAUAACACUACUAAGCACUUGUAAAUGAUGCUUUGUGUGUGGUUGUAUUGAAGAUGAAGAGAAGAUGGUUGGCUAUUGUAAAUGUUAUUUGUGCGUGUUAAAGAUGGAUAGAUGAUGGUGGGAGUUAUGGAGCAANCUUAAUAUAUAUAUAUAUAUAUAUAUUAUAUUAUAUAUAUAUAUAUAUUAUAUAUAUAUAUAUAUAUAUAUAUAUUUCAUAAACAUUUAUCUUUUGUAUAACUAUGUCGAUUGUACAAUAUUAUUAAUAUUAUUAAAAACCCCUCUUUCUAUCAUCAAAGGUUGAAACAUUAUUUAAAAAAAGUGAAUUCUAAUAUCUAGCAGGCUAUUUACACCUCCUUAAUAGGUAAAAUAUUUAAUUGUUUUUGACACUUCAUGAACUUUAAACAUUAUAAAGGAGUCAAACAAAAUUAUAUUUGUUGCAUGCAAAGGGAUACAAAUAUGACUGAAACUUUCAAGUUUAUAUAUGUUAUCAUUUUAUUUCUUACCUUAUUUCUUGUUGCAAAGACUGUUGAUGGUAAUUAAAAUUUCCAUAUCUCUUUAUAUAUUUUUUAUAGAUAUUAUUAUAUAUAUAUAAUAUGUUAUCUCAUUUGAAUAAUAUUCUUAUUUUUCUAUUUCUUUAUUGCAGAGUUUUUUUACUGUGAAAAAGAUUUUGCUUGUCCACCAAUUUUGUUUCUCAAGCACAUGUGCAUGAACAACAGAUGUGUAUAUGAUCAUAUGGAGAAUAAAUAAAUUAAGUAUCAGAUCCAAUAAAGUACACUUACACUGUUCAAGUAAGAAUGAUUUCUUAGACAAGCAAAAUAAAUCUACUUAAUACACUUUACUGUUUCAAACUUGCCAUUUAGUUAUUGGAAUGGCACCAAAUAAGUGUUUCUUUAAAUUUUUAUUUCAGAGUUUUUGAUUAUGGCAAUGUACUCUAAAAUGUUUGUAAUAAAAUUAAAUAAGACAAAAGAAUAUUAUAAUGGGAUUCUAUCAAAGUUCUAUAUCAACGACUCCAAUUUAUUAAGUGCCAAUCUCCUCGAUGAUUUUGAUUCAAUAUCAUUUCUAAGUCAAAAUGAUGUUCAUAUUUUUCAUGUCAUUUGCACUCACCAAUUUAUCUGAGAAUAUUAUAUCAUUUUGAAGCUAGUGAAAAUAUGUCUGAGCGCAUUGCACACUCGAAGAUACAAAAGAGUCGUCAUCAAACUUUAUUUAUUCUCAAAAAAAAGGAAAAAUAUCGAUAAAAUCCAAGAGAAAGAGAAACGCAUAAGAAAGUCGGUUAUACAAGGGAAAGACACUAGCACCCCUCACGUCUGUUGUACUCAACGGGAAGUAUUUUACUUGUUUUUUGCUUGAAUGAGUGUUAUAUCUAAAGAUUACUUGGGAAAGGGAAAAAAGGAGUUUAAUAAUUAGGGUGCUCGUUGAGGAUUGAGACCCUCGUGGCAACGUAUCCUCAUAGUGCAAUGAGGAAAUCAGAUUUCCGUAGUUCAUGGAACUAAGGAUGGAGAUGAAAUGAGAAAAAAAUGAAUGUGUCAGGGUAUACAACCCUAUAAGGCAGAAAAAGGGAAUUGCCAAGGUAUAUAACCUGAUAAGACCGAAAAAUAAUUAAUGUGCUCGCGGAGGAUGCAAAUCCUCGUGCAUACGUAUCCUCAUAGUGCAAUGAGGAAAUCAGAGCUCCGUAGUUUAGAGAACUAGGGCUGAAAGAAAGAUAUGAUUGGGGUGGUGUUUAAACCAAACAAAUGGGUAAUAGCGGUUUUUAACCAAAAGGAAACAAUUAUAUGGUGUUUAAAUCAGCAGGGGAUAAAAGGUGCGAUGUUUAAACCAAAAGGGGAUAAAAGUGGUGUUUAACCCGGGAAAGUGGUGUUUAAACCAAGGCAAUUGAUAGUGGUGUUUAAUCAAAAAGGGAAAGAAAGUGGUGUUUAAACUGAAGGAGUGAUGUUUAAAUCAAAAAGGAAUAAUACUGGUGUUUAAACCGAAGGAGUGGUGUUUAAACCAAAGGGGUGGUGUUUAAACCGAAAAAGUCGUGUUUAAACCAAAGGGUCGGUGUUUAAACCAGAAAAGUGGUGUUUAAACCAAAGGGUCGGUGUUUAAACCGAAAAGUGGUGUUUAAACCAAAGGGUUGAUGUUUGAACCGAAAAUGUGGUGUUUAAACUGGAAAAGUGGUGUUUAAACCAAAAGAUCGAUGUUUAAACCGAAAAAGUGGUGUUUAAAUCAAAAGGUCGGUGUUUAAACCAAAAAAGUAGUGUUUAAAUCAAAUGGUCGGUGAUUAAACUGGAAACGUGGUGUUUAAACCAAAUGGUCGAUGUUUAAACCGGAAAAGCGGUGUUUAAACCAAAGGGUUGGGGUUUAAACCGGAAAAGCGGUGUUUAAACCAAAUGAUUGGUGUUUAAACUGGUACAUGGUGAUUAACCAAAAAGAUGGUGUUUUAACCGGUACACAAUGAUUAAGCAAGGAAUGGGUAUUUUAACCAAAAGGUGAUUAACCAAGGAAUGAGUUUUUUUAACCAAAAAGAGAUUAAUCCAAGAACAAUGUGUGAGGAUUGUGUUUGAUCCAAGCAAAAUAUUAUUGAUGUUAACUGUUGGAGUGUCUGAGAUGUUGUCUGUUUGAAUGUAGGGAAGAAGACCUUGUCAAUUGUUUGAUUCAAAUUGCACUAAAGUCUAUGAGUGGAUAUGAAUACCUCAAACGAGCGGGUCAAGCGUCUCGUGUUCAAACUAUUCAGAAUGAAGGUAGGAAUGUUCCAUUAUCAUUCCUUCUCCACUACUUAAGGCCCGUGGCAUGCCAUUAUAAUCAUGACUGAAAAGUUGUUGAAAUAGGAUGUCUUUGAUGCUCCUUGAUGAUGAAUGUCACAUCUCGAAAAAUGCGAUCCUUCGCAAGAUGCUCGCACGCUCGCGGAAAAGAUGUUCAAACAGAGUCACCAUCGAACUUUAUUUAUUCCAAUGAAGGAAAGGGAAAAUAUCGAUAAAACCCACGAAAAGAAAAAGAAAAUAGUUGUCGCAAUCAAAUUUGGGUUCGAGAGUUGGUUAUGCAAGGGGAAGAUAUUAGCACCCCUCACAUCCGUUGUAUUCAACGGGAACCACUUAGUUAGAUUUACGAUAAAGUGUUAUCUAAUGUUGAUUGUGAUCUUCUAUUUAUUGAGCGAGAAAAAGAAGGAAAAAAAGAAAGACUUAAGUUUUUUUAAUAUUAAUGUGCCUGACAAGAUUUCGUAAUCCUGCUCCUACGUAUCUUUAGGUGUUAUGAAUAACUCAAGGCAUAUGUAGUUCUACCCAAAGAGAACUACUGGGUGGAUUGCUUUUAAAGAGAGUGAUGCCUGGAUCACAUUUGAGCGAUAAAAUGUUUACUUGUUGCUUGCUCUUGGAUGCUGAAAUCUUUGUUUGUUUCGCAUCAAAAUGGAUGUUACAUACUCUUUUCUGAAAAUAUUUUCGGGGUCGCACAAGGGCGGAAAACAAAUUUGAUUGGUUGAGUGUUUUGUUAGACGAUGAUUACUCGAAUGACCGAGUAAGGCUACUCGUAUCCAAGUAAUCGAGAAGAAGAAUAGAAGGCUCUAGACCAUCUCCCUUUUCAUCCUUAAUUGUGAAAAGAUUUAAAUAAGUUUAAUGUAUUUUUGAUGGAUGGCAAAUACUCGAAUAUCCGAGUAAGGCUACUCGUAUCCAAGUACUCGGGGAAGGGAAGGGAAGGCUCCAGAACACCUCCUUUUUAGUCCAAGUUUGUUACGAAAAUAAGUUUGACUUAAGUUUGAUUAUGAAAAUAAUUUGGAUGUGGCGGGGGCUGGAAAGUUUUUUUAAUAGAUGACAAUUGCUUGAAUGGCCGAGUAAGGCUACUCGUAUCCAAGUAAUUGAGGAGAGAAAAUGAAGGCCCGAGACCAUCUCCCUUUUCACCAUUUUCAAAAUAAUGUUUAAGUAUGAUUAAUUAUUUUGGAUUUGAUUAGGAAAAAGACACUCGAUGUUGGAUCGAGGUUUUUAUAUUUGCGGUUGAUCGAAACAGAUGGAAUGAUUUGAGGAUUUUUAAAAUAUCGAAGAAGUGGAUAUAGAAAUAUUUCUAUUUUUUAUGAAAAUUACUCGACUUUGGAUUGAGUAUUUUUUUUUGUUAUUUUCAAAAAAAUGGUUGAUUUUAAUCUUGUAAUUAACAAUCAACUGAUACAGUAAUGAAAGCGGUGAAUUUAUUACAUAUUCACGGGAAUGAGGGUGCAGUUCAUCGAAUGGGGACACAACACAAUAAUUAAAUGAAAUAAGCUUUGAAAGACAAUUGUAAAAUAAAAGAGUCUCGUUGUAAGAAGGCCCAAGAGAAAGCCAAGAGACUCGAAGUAAAAAUAAAAAAUUAAACUAAAAAGAAAUUUAACGCUAUAUUAAGAAAUCAUAAAGCGAUUCAGAUAGGAAUCAUUCUAUUUGAGACCAGUCAACAAGACUUUAUGCGCUUAAGCAAUUUCUGAAUUUAAAUUUAAUUUUUAACUCUGAAAUUGUAAAGCAUGUGUGAAAAACCGACGGGAGAAAAAAAAAAAUUAA